UCACCUUUAAUAGAUUUUUUUUAGACUACCAAAACCUAGAGAACUAACGCCUAAACCCUUAGGAGCUAUCCUCCGUUUUUCACAGACCCCCCCUGGAUCUUAUCUUCUUAGACACAAACCACAAAGAAAAACGAAAAGAACACAUCUAUUUCUAGACUCUAUGACCAAAACCAGUAGCAGUACCCUCACCAGUCCACCCCCUUAACCUCUACGACGCUUUCCUACCAACACCAACAGCUGCUUCUUCACCGGAAACCAAUCAACCUCCCAGCCGUUUCCCCUGGUUCGUGAAUGACCACCCUUGAACAGGGUGGAUCUUUUUCUUCAAUACUCAGUUCCAGAAUAUCUCACCUCACAGCAGACCCAUUUUUGCUAUUUAACAAUCAAAAAUGACCGGAAACCACUCACAUACGAAUAGUAAGAGAAACAGAGGUACACGGACAGAGAGAGAAGGGAACGGGAAUGAACACAUCUUAUUUCCUUCUUUCAGUUCUUUUUCGAUUUUUCAUCUCAAACUUGGAGGUGUUAUCCUUUUAUUUUCCAUUCCAAAUGGAUGAUAUUUGAGUUUGUGUUUGUUGCGAAUUUUGUCGCCGAUUUGAGGUUCCAUUCGAGCUACUGUCUGAUUUGACUCCCAUUAUAGCUAUGGUUUCAUUUUGUUUUGCUUGUGUAACUGCUGAAUUCAAAGUUACAAAUUAAAACCAAAACAAAAAUAUAAAAAUAAAGAGGAUUUGAAAUCCAAUUCAGUUUCUAUUCUUGUAUUUCAUUUUUGGAAUGGCGAUUAACCUUUGGAUUUUGGAGGAACUUUUUGGCUACUACUAACUGUUUGAAUUGCCAUAUCUACUUUGCUGGGAUCUUGAAUUGUAUUUCUGCCUUAUUUGGCCUACUUUAGCACUUUCUCGUGUCGAUUAGUUUAGAGUUGAUUUGGAGUUCCGUUCAAGGUGCCGAGGUUGUUGGGCAAAAUUUCCGGUCGAAAUCUAAUCUUGCGCUCGAUAUUUGUUGUUGUAACCAAUUUGCAGUGAAGCUAUAAAUGUCCGAUUUCACUAUCUUUAAUCAUUUUAUUGACCUAUUGUUUGUGCUUAGUUGUUGGUUGAGGUUAUCUUGAUAAAAUCUUGGUAUGAAGUAGCCUACUGUGUAAUGGUUGAAAUCACCCAUGUGCUUUUGUGUUCCUGCUGCUUUUUCACAUUCUUUAAUACUGUUUGUGGUUUAAGAAUAUUUGUAGAAAUUGAAGAAUUAUUGGCCUAGUUGAUUGUUACGUAAGUCUUGAGUUUUUCACUUGGGAUUAAAAGGAUUUGGGUCAUAAUUUAAUGGAAAUAGGCAUUGGCAUUAAGAGAUCAUUUUUGAACAUAUAACUUUAUGGUGCGUUUUAAGAAGGAACCAUAAUUGGGUUUGGCAUUACUUCGUUAAUUUUGACUUUAGAAUGGUGUUACAAUAUUAGGGACAAUUGGGGUAGUAAAUUCAUUGACCAAUUGGGUCAUUGGGGUAAUUGUGAUUAAUUGGAAUUAAGCCAUGAAGUUCUGAACAUAGUAACGAGAAUUUGGAACUUUGAUAUUUUAUUGCUCCCAUUUAAUGUUUUUAUCACUUGUAAUAUUCGUAGUUUGCUUUAGGCACAUUUAAUAUAUCAUCGUUUAAAGUAAACUUAAUUUUGAUUCUAAAAACAAACCAAGGUAUGCAUUCGUGCAACAUCGAUCAAAACUUUUCUUAAAUAACUAAUAAAGCAUGAUUAAUUGUGGACACGUACGCGUGACAUAAUUUUUGACAUGCCAAGCAAAACAAGUACAUGUACGCGUGACUUAAUUCUUUAAUUACGAAUAAUCAAGCAAUUAGAAGUGGUAAAAGGUAAAUGCACAUAGGUUCUAAAAUAAGUAAUUAGACAAUUUAAGCCGAGUAUAAAUCGCUAAGCGACCGUGCUAGAACCAUGAAACCUGGGAAUGCCUAACACCAUCUCCCGAGGUAACAUAAUUCCUUAUCUAAAAUUUCUUGUUCGCAGACAUUUAAAUACUGUUGCAAAUUUUCUCGAUUUGGGAUUUAAAAAUAAACUGGUGACUUGGGACACCAAAUAUAUUAUUCCAAGUGGCGACUCUGAAAAAUAAAUAAAAUAAUCCUAUUUCUAAUAAUGUCACUUUAAUAUGAAAAAUUCCCUUAUAUACCAUCCCGAGUGGUAAAAAGGAGGUGUGAAAGCUCUGGCGACUCGGCUGGGGAUAAGAACCCAAAAUCGUUGGUUCAGGGUUCAAGAAUUCGAGCUUGUUAAUGUGAUUUUUACUUGGCUUUAUUUAUUGUUGAUGUUACUGUAUUUUGUAGACCUAAUAUGCAUAUUGCCUUUUAUUUACCGCUUUGAUAUUACUUGAACUAUAUUAAACUGUCUCCCUACGCCUACCUUCUGAGUUAUCUAAAAAAUGGUGCACACAUUUGCGUGACCCACUUUUUUUGUUAGAAGUUAUACCAAAUAGAAUGAGGUUGGGCCAACAGCAAGGCCGGGUAGACUUUCGUGCUCCCGGUACGUUGCCCCCUCUUUGGUUCGAGUUGUUUGCUCCGGUAAGUGUGACGACCCGACCGAUCAUCUUAAGAAUUUAUGCCCCGAUCCCCUAUUAACUGCUCUCCCUAUGUUUGUUCCUGCUAUUGUGAGUUGAUGAGAGGAAUUGUUUAGAGUUUCGGAGAGUUUUGGGACACUUAGUUCCUCAAUGAGACCUUAAAUUUUGAAAAUUUGACCGUAGUUGGAAAAGUGUGAAGACGGCCUCGGAAUAGAAUUCUGAUGGAUCCGUUAGCUCCGUUGGGUGAUUUUGGAUUUAGGGGCAUGUUCGGAUUGGGUUUUGGAGGUCCGUAGCUAAUUAGGCUUGNNNNNNNNNNNNNNNNNNNNNNNNNCCGAGCCUAAUUUAGGCCUUGAAAUUCGACCGAAAGUUGAAUUUUUGAAGUUUCCGGUUCGAUAGUAAGAUUUUGAUCCGAGGGUCGGAAUGGAAUUCCGGAAGUUGGAGUAGUCUGUAAUGUUGAAUGUGACGUGUGUGAAAAAUUUCAGGUCAUUUGGACGAGGUUUGAUAGACUUUUUGUUUGAAAGUGUAUUUUGAGAGUUUUUGAAGUUCUUAGGCUUGAAUCCGAUGCUAAUUUGUUUAUUUGAUAUUGUUUGAGCUAUUUUGGAGAUUUGUAUAAGUUUGGAUAGUGGUAUAUGACUUGUCCGUGCUUUUGGUUGAGGUCCCGGGGGCCUCGGGAUGAUUUCGGAUGGUUAAUGUGGAGUUGGAACAUCGAGUUUGCAGCUGAAGUUCUUUGGGCUGCUGUCAUCACCGCAUCUGUGGGUUGGAGGCCACAGAUGCGACUCCCGCAGAUGCGGAAUUUAGCCGCAGAAGCGGCCAUAUAAGGAAAGGCGAUGUGUCGCAGGUGCGGAUGAGUUCACGCACCUACGUGACCGCAUAUGUGAUGAACAGGUCGCAGGUGCGGACUUGGGGAAUUAAUGAGUAUUCGCAUGUGCGGUCAUUCUUUCGCAGAAGCAGGACCGCCGAUGCGUCCCUUGACCGCAGAAGCAGAAUUGCUGGGUUGAAAAUAGGAACUUCGAGGGUUUGGUUUCAAAAGAUGGAAAAAAUGAUUUGGAGCUCGGGAGAGGGCGAUUUUGGGAGGAAUUUUAAGAGGAAAUCAAUGGGUAAUAAUUCCUUAACCCUUUCUAGUUGUAUUCCAUUAAUCUAUUGUUACUUUUGUCAUUUAAUUUCGGAUUUGAGAUGAAAAUUUGGGAAAAAUUGGAAGAAAGUUCUUUAACCUAGAAUUCAAUUUUUGAUUGCGAGUUUGACCUUGGAUUUGGAUAAUUUUGGUUUGCAUAAACUCGUGAGAGUAUGAGGAUUGUGAAAAUAUAAAUUUUACACGAUUCUAAGAUGUGGGCCCGAGGGGCGUUUUGGUCAUCUUACCUAAUUUUGCGUAUUAGCCUAGAAUUUAUUUGUAGAAUCAGUUACUUGAAGUGUUAUUUACAUUAUGCAAUCGAAUUGAAUAGAUUUGGGUCAUUUGGAGUCGAGUACUCGUGGCAAGAACGUGGUUUUGGGUUGAUUUUGAGCCAAUUCGAGGUAAGUGGCUUGCCUAAACUUGUGGGGGGGACAUUUCCCCUUAGGAUUGGUAUUGUGAUAUUUGAAAUGCCUUGUACGUGAGGUGACGAGUGCGUACUUGUGCUAAUUGUUGAAAACCAUGUUUUCAUUAAGUAACUUUAAUUGUGUUUUCCCGUCCUAUUUAUUCUACUUGCACUUUUAAACAUGUUGUUAGCUUAGAGAAGCAUGUCUAAUUGACUUAAUUGCUUUAUUUGCUUUUACUUCUUUAUUUGGAUUACGUGAAGCAUGCUAGGUUAGAAUUACCCGUGUUACUUUGGUAUGAAGUAGAGUUUAUUUGAGUAUUCUUUAUGCCAUUGUUGUAUGUUUUACUUUGGGACUACAGGAUGGCAUCCCGGGAGAUCCCUGCAGGCAUUUAUGAUGUGAGCUGAAGUGCGGGAUACUGAGAGAUCCCCAGCACGUAUAUUGAGUAUACCAAGAGAUCCUCGAGAUACCAAAAGAUCUCUACCAUAUAUUGAGGAUGCCGAGAGAUCCUCGGGAUACCAGGAUAUCCCUAGCAUACAUUGGGGAUACCAAGAGAUCCCUAGCAUACAUUGAGGAUACCAAGAGAUCCUCAGGAUACCAAGAGAUCCCUAGCAUACAUUGAGGAUACCAAGAGAUACCUAGCAUACAUUGAGGAUACCAAGAGAUCCCUAGCAUACAUUGAGGAUACUAAGAGAUCCUCGACAUACAAAGAGAUCCCUAACAUACAUUGAGGAUCCUCGGCAUACAAAGAGAUCCCUAACAUACAUUGAGGAUACCAAGAGAUCCUCGGGAUACCAAGAGAUCUCAGGCAUAUAUUGAGGGCACUAAGAGAUCCUCGGGAUACUGAGGGAUCACCAGUUAUUAUCUUUGUGAAGAGUGGUAUUUCCUUGUGAGUGUUUUUGUCUCUGUUUCAGUUGUUGUUAUCCUUAUUAUCAUGUAUUAGUUCUUACUGUUAAUUUUCAACUAUAGUGCUUAUCUUAUUCUGUUAUACCUGAUAUUUCAUUUAAUUUCAGUAGGUCCCUGACCUUCCUCGUCACUACCCGACCGAGGUUAGGCGUGACACUUACUAAGUACCAUUGUGGUGUACUCAUGCUCUUUCUACGGAUGUUUUUAUGUGCAGAUCUAGGUAUCUCCAUUCGGACUUAUCACUUGUGAGAUGAGGCGCUUGUACAGACUCUGAGGUAAAUCUUCCGCGUCCACAGACCGAAGUGUCCCUUUCUACUCCCCCUUUUUGCAUUGGCCCUUCUGUACUUUCAUUUCCUUGUUAGAUAUUCUAGAGUUAGAUGCUUGUAGAAAAUUCAAGGCUUGUGAUCAUGAGAUUCAGGGUUUUGGGAGAUGUGUUUAGCUUUCGAGAGAUAUUAUUGUGUAUGCUAAGUGGCAUUUUAAGUUACUGUUUUAUUACACUACUUCGGUUUUAAAUUAUUUCUUUGCAAAUUGGUUUAUUUUUCCGCAUUGUUAGGCUUACCUAGUCGUAGAGAAUAGGUGCCGAUACGAUGGUUCAUGGAGAGCGAACCGGGGUCGUGACAAGUUGGUAUUAGAGCUCUAGGUUCAUAGGAGUCAUGAAUCACAAACCGAUUUAUUAGAGUCUCGUGGAUCAGUACGGAGAUGUCUGUACUUAUCUACGGGAGGCUAUGUAACUGUUAGGAAAAAUUCCACUUCAUUUGAAUUCCCUAUCGUGCGAGGUUCUUGACAUUACAAUCCUAAACCUCUAUAUUCCAUUCUCUCACAGAUGGUGAGGACACGUGCUACCAGAGAUGAUAAGACACCUGCACCCACUGCGAGAGCCGUCAGAAGUUGGGGCCGGGGUAGAGGCCGAGGAUGCACAUGCGGUGCAGCCAGAGCACCCGCGUGAGCUACCACCGAGGAGCCACCAGUAGUUCUAGCCAGAUCCCAAGCACCGAAUACGCCUACUGCUACUACUACUCCAGCACUUCAGGAGACAUUAGCACAGUUCCGAAGCAUGUUUGGUACAUUAGUUCAGGCGGGGCUAAUUCGGGUUGUACCAACUACUUCACAAAUCGGGGAAGGGACCUAGACUUCCGCCACCCUCACUUCAGAGUAGUGAGUUGUAAUUGGUCGGGUUCCAGGUGUCAUAGUGACACAGUCUAUGGUUCCAGUUCAGCUGGUGGUGAGAACCUCUCGCUGAGUAUAGGAUAAACGGGGUCAGGAGAGAGAGUAUAGGGAAGUGAGGAGACCUCGUAGACUGUAGAGACCCACUAGUCCUUAUUUUAGAGGAAUAGUACAUCAUGGUAGAGGUUUUGUGGGACAACCAUCUCAGUUUGGAUCUCAGAUUUCACAUAGUGUUUCAGGUGUUCAGGCGUCUUGGAGUACGCGUACCGCACAGUUCCCACUGCCAUUUCCUCAAAGAGCUUGUUUUGAGUGUGGUGACACACGCCAUCUAGUGAGGGAUUGCCCUAGACAUGGAAAUAGUGCACCUCUACAGACUUCUCAGCCACAGCGCGCUCCGCAGAGUUCUUAGUCUAUGAUUGUAGCACUAGUUGCUACCCCACCUGCUCAGCCAGCUAGAGGGGAAGGCCAAGCAAGAUAUUAUGCCCUUCCUGCCCCUACCGAGGCUUUUGCCUUCGAUUCUGUCAUCACAGGUAUUGUAGUGGUUUGUCAUAGAGGUGCAUCGGUUUUAUUCGAUCCAGGAUCCACUUAUGUGUCUUCUUAUUUUGCUAAGUAUUUGGGUGUACCUCGGGAUUCUUUGAGUUCCCAUAUUUAUGUUUCUACUCCUAUGGGAGAUUCUCUUGUUGUGGACUGCAUUUAUCGGUCGUAUUUGGUUGCUCUUAGUGGUUUUGAGACUAGACCCAAUUUAUUAUUGCUCAGCAUGGUAGAUUUUGAUAUUAUCUUGGGCAUGGACUGGUUGUCGCCCCAUUAUGCUAUUCUUGAUUGUCACACCAAAAUUAUGACGCUGGCUAUGCCAAGUGUAAUGCAUGUUGAGUGGAGGGGUACUUUAGGUCACACUCCCAGUAGAGUUAUAUCUUUCCUUAAGGCUCAGCGAAUGGUUGAGAAGGGGUGUGACGUGUAUUUAGCUAAUGUCAGAGAUGUCAAUAUUGAUACCCCAUAAGUUGAUUCAGUCCUAGUAGUACGGGAUUUUCCCGAUUUGUUUCCCGAUCUGAGUUGAAGGAUCAGUUACAGGAAUUGCUUGAUAAGGGUUUUAUUCGGCCUAGUGUAUCACCUUGGGGUGCUUCUUUCUUGUUUGUGAAGAAAAAGUAUAGUUCUAUGCGUAUGUGUAUUGAUUAUCGCCAGUUGAAUAAGGUUACAGUGAAGAACCGUUAUCCUUUGCCUCGUAUUGAUGAUCUAUUUGACCAGCUUUAGGGCGCACGAGUGUUUUCUAAGAUUGACUUGCGCUCAGGUUACCAUCAGUUGAAGAUUCGGGAGCCAGAUAUCCCGAAAACUGCUUUCAGGACUCGAUAUGGUCAUUACGAGUUCCUUGUUAUGUCGUUUGGGCUGACUAAUGCCCCAACAGCCUUUUUGCAUUUGAUGCACAGUGUGUUCCGGCCGUAUCUUAACUCGUUAAUCAUUGUCUUUAUUGAUGAUAUUUUGGUGUAUUCCCGGAGUCAGGAAGAUCAUGAGCAGCACCUGAGGACAGUGCUUCAGACCUCGAGAGAAAAGAAAUUACAUGCAAAGUUCUCGAAAUGUGAGUUUUGGUUGAAUUCUGUGGUUUUCUUGGGUCAUGUGGUAUCGAGUGAGGGUAUACAAGUGGAUCUGAAGAAAGUAGAGGUGGUGCAUAUUUGGCCCAGACCAUCCUCAGCUACAGAGAUCGGUAGUUUCCUUGGCUUAGCGGGUUACUACCGCCGUUUGGUGGAGGGGUUUUCAUCGAUUGCUUCCCCAAUGACCAGACUGACCCAGAAGGGGUGCUACGUUCCAGUUGAUGGAAGAGUGUGAGGCGAGCUUUCAGAAGCUCAAGACAGCUUUGACUACAACCCCAGUUUUGAUAUUGCCUAUAGGUUCGGGGUCUUAUACCAUUUAUUGUGAUGCCUCGAUGAUUGGCCUUGGGGUAGUUUUGAUGCAGGACGUUAGGGUGAUUACCUAUGCAUCCAAACAGUUAAAGGUUCAUGAAAAGAAUUAUCCUAUCCUCGACCUUGAGGUUGCUGCCGUUGUUCACACCUUAAAGAUCUGGCGUCAUUAUUUGUACGGUGUGCCUUGUGAGAUUUAUGCUGAUCAUCAGAGCUUGCAACACCUGUUCAAGCAAAAAAGAUCUAAAUUUGUGCUAGAGAAGGUGGUUAGAGUUGCUAAAGGACUAUGAUAUCACUAUUUUGUAUCACCCGGGCAAGGCCAAUGUCGUGGCCGAAGCUUUGAGUCACCGGAAAGAGAGUUUGGGUGGCGAUGGAUGUUCUGGCCUUAGCCAUCUAGUUCAUGAGAUUGGACCUUUCAGAGCCAGUCGGGUUCCAGCUUGCGUGGUUUCUCAGUCUUCAUUAUUUGAUUGUAUCAGGGAGCGUCAAUAUGAUGACCCUUAUUUGUUUGUCCUCAAAGAUAUGUGUCUAUUGGUGAUGACGGGGUAUUGAGGAUUCAGGGUCGGAUUUGUGUGCCCAAUGUUGAUGGGCUUCGGGAGUUGAUUCUAGAGGAGGCCCAUAGUUCGCGGUAUUCCAUUCAUCCGGGUGCCGCGAAGAUGUAUCAGGAUUUGAGACAGCACUAUUGGUGGAGGCGGAUGAAGAAAAAUAUAGUUGGAUUUGUAGCUCGGUGCCUUAACUAUCAGCAGAUGAAGUAUGAGCAUCAGAGUAUGGGUGGGUUACUUCAGCAGAUAGAGAUUCUGGACUGGAAGUGGGAGCGUAUCAUUAUAGACUUUGUAGUUGGGCUCCCACGAACUUUGAGAAAGUUCGAUGCUAUUUGGGUGAUUGUUGAUUGGCUGACCAAGACCACACACUUUAUUCCUGUGUGUACUACUUAUUCUCUGGAGCGGUUGGCGGAGAUUUAUAUCUGGGAGAUUGUUCGUCUGCAUGGUAUUCCAGUUUCCAUCAUUUCGGAUAGAGGUAAUCAGUUCACAUCAUGGUUCUGGAGGGCCAUUUAGCAUGAGUUGGGUACUCGGGUGGAGUUGAGUAGAGCAUUUCACCUUCAGACGAACAAACACUCCGAGUGCACUAUUCAGAUUCUUGAGGAUAUUUUCCGUGCAUGUGUGAUUGAAUUUGGAGGGUCUUGGUAUCAGUUCUUGCCAUUGGUGGAGUUUGCUUACAACAACAGUUAUCAGUCCAGUAUUUACAUGGCACCGUAUGAGGCUUUAUAUGGUAGGCGGUGUAGAUCUUCGGUAGGUUGGUUUGAGCCAAGCGAGACUAUAUUAUUGGGCACAGACUUGGUUCAGGAUUCUUUGGAGAAGGUUAAAGUGAUUCAGGAUAGACUCCGUAUAGCCCAAUCCAUACAGAAGAGGUAUGCAUACCGGAAGGUUCGUGAUGUUUCAUAUAUGGUAGGUGAGUGGGAAGGGCGUUAUGAAAUUUGGGAAUAAAGGUAAGUUGAGUCCGAGGUUUAUUGGUUCUUUUGAUAUAUUGAAACGUGUUGGGGAGGUUGCUUAUGAGCUUGUCUUACCUCCCAGCAUGGUAGGAGUUCAUCUGGUAUUUCAUGUUUCGAUGCUCCGGAGGUGUCACGGUGAUCAUUCGCAUGUGUUGGAUCUCAGUUUAGUCUAGUUGGACAAGGAUCUAUCUUAUGUUAAGGAGCAAGUGGCGAUAUUGGACAGGCAAGUUCGAAAGCUGAGGUCAAGAACAUUGCAUCAGUAAAGGUUUAGUGGCGGGGUCAGCCCGUCGAGGAGGCAACCUAGGAAAUCGAGCAGGGUAUGUGCAGCCAUUACCCUCAUCUUUUUACUACUUCAGGUGUGUCUCUAUGCUCGUUCAAGGACGAACAAAUGUUUAAAUGUAGGAGGAUGUGACGACCCGACUGGUCGUCAUAAGAAUUUAUGCCCUGAUCCCCUAUUAACUGCUCUCCUCGUGCUUGUUCCUACUUUUGUGAGUUGCUGGGAGGAAUUGUUUGGAGUUUCGGAGAGUUUUGGGACACUUAGUCCAUAAAUGAGAGCUUUAGUUUUGAAAGUUUGACCGUAGUCGGAACAGUGUAAAGAUGGCCUCGGAAUGUAAUUAUGAUGGUUUCGUUAGCUCCGUUGGGUGAUUUGGGGUUUAGGAGCGUGUUUGGAUUGUGUUUUGGAGGUCCGUAGCUAAUUAGGAUUGAAAUGUCGAAAGUUGAAUUUUUGAAGUUUCCGGUUUGAUAGUGAGAUUUUGAUCUGAGGCUCAGAAUGGAAUUCUGGAAGUUGGAGUAGCUCCGUAAUGUUGAAUGUGACAUGUGUGCAACAUUUUAGGUCAUUCAGAUGAGGUUUGAUAGACUUUUUUAUUGAAAGCAUAUAUGAGAGUUUUUGAAGUUCUUAGGCUUGAAUCUUAUGCUAAUUGGUUGAUUCGAUGUUGUUUGAGGUAUUUUGGAGAUUUGUAUAAGUUUAGAUAGUGGUAUAUGACUUGUCUGUGCUUUUUGUUGAGGUCCCGGGGGCCUCGAGAUGAUUUCGGAUGGUUAACGGGGAGUUGGAACUUGGAGUUUGCAGCUGAAGUUCUUUGGGCUGCUGUCAUAACCGCAUUUGCGGUUCGAAGGCUGCAGAUGCGACUCCCGCAGAUGCAGAAUUCAUCUGCAGAAGCGGCCAUGUGAGGAAAGGCGAAGAGCCUCAGGUGCGGAUAAGUUCACGCACCUGCGUGACCGCAGAUGCGGUGAACAGGUCGUAGGUGCAGACUUGGGGAAUUAAUGAGUUUUGGCAGGUGCGGUCAUUCUUCCGCAGAAGCGGAAUUGCUGAGCAGGAAAUAGGAACUUCGAAUAUUUGGUUUCAGAAGUUGGAAAAAAAUAUUUGCAGCUCGGGAGAGGGCGAUUUUGGGAGGAAUUUUAAGAGGAAAACAAUGGGUAAUAAUUCCUUAACCCUUUCUAGUUGUAUUCCAUUAAUCUAUUGUUACUGUUGUCAUUUAAUUUCGGAUUUGAGAUGAAAAUUUGGGAAAAAUUGGAAGAAAGUUCUUUAACCUAGAAUUCAAUUUUUGAUUGCGAGUUUGACCUUGGAUUUGGAUAAUUUUGGUAUGCAUGAACUCAUGAGAGUAUGAGGAUUCUGAAAAUAUUAAUUUUACCUGAUUUCGAGACGUGGGCCUGAGGGGCGUUUUGGUCAUCUUACCUAAUUUCGCGUAUUAGCCUAGAAUUUAUUUGUAAAAUCAGUUACUUGAAGUUUUAUUUACAUUAUGCAAUUGAAUUGAAUAGAUUUGGGUAAUUUGGAGUCGAGUACUCGUGGCAAGAACGUGGUUUUGGGUUGAUUUUGAGUCAGUUCGAGGUAAGUAGCUUACCUAACCUUGUGUGGGGUCUUUUCCCCUUAGGAUUGGUAUUGUGAUAAUUGAAAUGGCUUGUAUGUGAGGUUUUUUCCCUUCCUAUUUAUUCUACUUGCACUUUUAAACCUACGGUUAGCUUAUAGAAGCAUGUGUAAUUGAUUUAAUUGCUUUAUUUACUUUAACUGCCUUAUUAGGAUUACGUGAAGCAUUCUAGGUUAGAAUUGUCUGUUUUACUUUGGUAUGAAGUUGAGUUUAUUUGAGUAUUCCUUGUGCCAUUGUUGUGUGUUUUACUUUGGGACUACGAGAUGGCAUCCCGGGAGAUCUCCUGUACGCAUUUAUGAUAUGAUCUGAAGUGCGGGAUACCGAGAGAACCCUAGCAAGUAUAUUGAGUAUACCAAGAGAUCCUCGGGAUACAAAGAGAUCCCUAGCAUAUAUUGAGGAUACCGAGAGAUCCUCGGGAUACCAAGAGAUCCUUAGCAUGCAUUGAGGAUACCAAGAGAUCCUCGAGAUACCAAGAGAUCCCUAACAUAUAUUGAGGAUACCAAGAGAUCCCUGGCAUAUUUUGAGGGUACUAAGAGAUCCUCGGGAUACUGAGAGAUCCCCGGUUAUUAUCUUCGUAAAGAGGGGUAUUUCCUUGUGAUUGUUUUUGUCUCUGUUUCAGUUAUUAUUAUCUUUAUUAUCUUGUAUUAAUUCUUACUGUUAGUUUUCAACUAUACUGCUUAUCUUAUUCUGUUAUACCUGAUAUUUUAUUUAAUCUUAGUAGGGCCCUGACCUUCCUCAUCACUACCCGACCGAUGUUAGGCUUGGCAUUUACUGAGUACCGUUGUGGUGUACUCAUGCCCUUUCUAUGCAUGUUUUUCAUGUGCGGAUCCCGGUACCUCCAUUCGGACGUUUCACUCGUGAGAUGAGGUGCUUGUAGAGUCUACGAGAUAUAUCUGCCCCGUCCACAGACCGAAGAGUCCCUUUCUACUCCCCCUUUUUGCAGUGGCCCUUUUGUACUUUCAUUUCCUUGUUAGAUAUUUUAGAGUUAGAUAUUCUAGAGUUAGAUGCUUGUAGAAAAUUCAAGGCUUGUGAUCAUGAGAUUCCGGGUUUUGGGAGAUAUGUUUAGCUUUCGAGAGUUAUUAUUGUGUAUGCCAAGCGGCACUUUAAAUUACUAUUUUAUUUCACUACUUCGGUUUUAAAUUAUUUCUUCCGCAAAUUGGUUUAUUUUUCCGCAUUGUUAGUCUUACCUAGUCGUAGAGACUAGGUGUCGUCACAAUGGUUUGCGGAGGGCGAACCACGGUCGUGACAGUAAGCCAGGUCUAUAACACAACCCCAGGUUUAAUCUUAGAAAAACAUAACCUUAUGUCGGAUCCCUAGUAGGAACAUUUAUUUGCAUCACGUGCAUUUGACCUUGGGGACUCAACACAGGAGUUGGGUCCGUCUAGGACAGGUGUACCCAAAAUUAAAAAACCAUCCUGAUGCAUCUUACGUGCUACUUGCGCAUUUGCUUUAUUCGGCUUGCAUGUUGACCGGCUUCUAGAAUAGGGAAAGGAAAAAAAAUAAAAAUAAAAAAAACCAAGAGUGAGGUAGGUAUUUUAAAAUUCUGAAACUCUUCCGAAAUUCUGAAGGAAAAAAAAAAAGAAAAAAGAAAAUUCAUUUCAAAAUGAGCCCAAAAUCUUCAAGUACCAUGUUUACUUGUUCCUUCAAAUUGACCAAACUACGUGGGUCUGAUUCACACCGGAUAUGAGAUACGUAGGCAAAUCUCAUCGGUUGCGAACCCAAUUUUCAAAAAUCCAAAAAUAUUUUCCUUUAGUUCCUUUUUUAGAAAUCUUUCCUUAGAUAAUUCAAAAAAGAAGUUUUUAAAACACAAAAAAAUAGUUUCCUUCUUUCUGAAGUCUUUCAUAAAAAACAAAGAAAUAAAAACAAAAUCAAUCAAAAAUCAAAAUCAAAAAUACGUGUUUCCUUCAUUUUGAAGUAUUUUUUUCCAAAAAAAAAGAAACAAAAAUCCAAAAAAUACUCUUUUAUUUUUUAGAAGUCUUUCUUUUGUAAUUGUCCAUACGAAUUUGAGAAAUAAAAGUCCAAAAAUAUUUUCUCUUUCCUUUAAAAAAUUUCCUUGUUUAAAAGUCUUUCUUUCAAAAAACAAUUAAAAAAAAAAUGAAGUCUAAAAAUAUUUUCAUUUUUCUUUAGAUGUACUUUUGUAAAUUUAAAAACAAAAAAACUCAGAAAUCCAAAAUAUUUUCUUAUAAGUCCCUAUUUCGAAAAUUAAGAGGCAACACCCAAAUUCCAAAACAUAUUUUCUUUCUUCUUUAGAAAUAGAGAAAACAAUUGAAAAUUCAAACAAAAAUAUUUUUCUUUUACUUUUGAAAUUCCCAAAGUUCAAAUAAAAAAAAAAGGAAUUUUUAGAAGUCUUUCUUUCAAAAAAUUUUUAAAAAAAAUCGGAGAAAAAAAUAUUUCCUUUCUUCUUUAAAAGCAUUUCUUUCGAAAAUUCCAAAAAAAAAAGAAAUUGAAAAGAAAAGAUGUUCCUAUGUCUCAAAGCUUUCAUGAUCUGAGUGUUAUUGAGAAAAAGAAAAAAAGAGUUACCUUAGUUACUCCAUUCUUAAUCUUCUUGAACUAUGUAAAGAUCUGAUUCAUGCGGUGUCAUGAUACGUAGGCAAUCCCCAUCGGAUUCGAUCAUAUCCAUAAAAUAAAUUGAGUGAAAAAUAAACUGAAAAAAGAAAUUGAAAAAAAAGAGUGACAUAAAAUAAAAGAGUGACAAAAAAUAGAAAAAGAAAAGAGAGUACUAAAAAAAUGAGCGAUAGAAACGAAACGAAAAAAAACAAGAGUGAUUAAGAGGCAGAAGUAAAAGAAAAAAGGUACAUACUGAAAGGGUUAGUUAAGGCCGGGAUGAAACAUGCAACUGUUCAAAUACAUGGUAGAAGCAUUUAACUCUUAGGUGCAUUGCAUCACAACGUGUGAUUUUCUAUAUGUUAAAUGACUCAAAACUAACAGGUUGUUGGGUGUGCAAAUUAGCCAGGUUCAGUUCAGGUGGAUGGUUUUGUUGGUAUCCGGUGGCCCACCCUUACUUCACAAGAUCCAAAGGAAAGGUUCCUAUGGCCUCUGAAAGCCAUCUACAAAUCAUCGAUCCCGAGGAUAGCCCAGUACCGACUAUUCCACAACUAGAAUCAGCAGCUAUUGAAGAGAAUAGGAUGUUCCUUCUCCACAUAUUGGAAAUGUGGGACACCUGGUCUAAUGGUAGGGAACCGCCAAAUGCAAUCCCCGGGUUACCUGAGUGGAUCCUCAGGUCAAGUGAGGAUACCAAUGCCCUUGUGCCCUACCCGCUCAUCCCAUGUGGGCACAGUCCAACGAUGUCCAAUAAUCCUGGCAUACCUUCUACAGUUCGCCCCUAGGCACCGACUUUAAGGGCACCACCUCCAAUGUUCAUCUUUCAGGGUCCACAACUUCAACUAGAAAUAACAUAUGUUUCCCCGUACUCCUUCACCCAACCUCUGCAAUAUGAUCUCUCGGUAGAGCAAGAAAAGGUUGUUAAAAAUCCAGAGCAAGAGGAAAUGGCUCGGAAGAUGAAGAGCCUGCAACAAAGCCUGAAAAAUGUGCAAGGUAUGAGUGGCCAAAAGAGUGUCUCAUACUCUGACCUCUGUAUGUUUUCCCAUGUCCACUUGCCAGUUGGCUUCAAGAUGCCAAAAUUUGACAAAUACGACGGGCAUAGAGACCCGGUCGCUCAUCUGAAACAAUAUUGUAACCAGUUGAGGGGUGCUGGUGGAAAAGAGGAGCUACUAAUGGCCUAUUUUGGGGAAAUACUCACCGGAAUCGCUUCUGAGUGGUAUACAGAUCAAGAAAUUACUCAAUGGCACAUGUGGGACGAUAUGGCCCGAGAUUUUGUCCGCCUGUUCAAAUAUAAUACGGACAUCGCUCCCGACAGAAACUCUUUGUCCAAUUUGAAAAAGAAAACCGCGGAAAGCUUCUGCGAAUAUGGCGUCAAAUGGUGUGAGCAAGCUGUCAGGGUAAAGCUACCAAUGGACAAAAUUGAAAUGAUCACGGUCUUUCUGCAGGCCCAAGAGGCUGACUAAUUCCAGAACACGAUAUCUUAUAUGUUUAAGUCGUUCACUAAGGCUAUCAAAAUUGGGGAAAUGGUUGAAAACAGUUUAAAACAGGUCGAAUCUUGAGUCGUGCCGCUUUUAAGGCCACAUUACAGUCUACUCAGAUUGGUUCGUAGUGUUUGAUGAACAUAAAUGGGAGUGAAGAGGGAUCCAUGAUGGUUUCAAGCUCGAGGGGGGCCCCGUAGGUCAUUCAGACAAUCAUAUAGGCCUCCUACCAUCCCACCACACUAUUAUCCCCUUCAAGAUGCUACUUAUGCCGUGGAACCGCCUCCCUAUGCGGUGAUGAAUGCGCAACUUUACCCGGGGCCACAACAUUAUCCACAAAACCGAGCUCCACCUCCCAGGAAUGCCCAUCCUUACCAAGCUCCAUAUAAUCCUCAACCAAAUGAUCCUCAAUACAAUCCUCGCCUAAUAGAGCCUUUCAGAAAGAAUCAAUUCACCCUUAUUGGUGAAUCGUAUUCAAGCUUGUUCCAAAAACUAAUCAGGCUAAAUCUAUUGUAGCCUGUGGCAUCGAACUGGGCGAACCCCGAGUCCCCCUCGCACCGAGCUGAUGCUAUAUGUGAAUACCAAUAUGGAGUAGUAGGACAUAGUACAGAGGACUGUUGGACUCUCAAAAGGGCUUUUGAUGAAUUGAUUGAAGAUAAAAGAAUCGUUUUUCGGGAUAAAGCUCCUAAUGUGAUGAACAAUAUGUUACUUGACCACAACAUCGGGCCAAUAGUCGGAAUGAUUUGUGAAGCUGAGGAAUUUGAUCCGGCACUGAAGGCCAUUGCAGACAUUGCCGAGAUAGAAGAAAAGCCAAAAAUGGUCGCCAAGCAUGAAAGUUCCCCAUAAGACGGGAGUUUUAGUAGCCAGUCUUGCUUUCCUUUCUGUGUCCGGAUUAUCUUUCAGGGUGUGAUUCGGAUGUUUUACCUUAUUGUCUUACUUUCCGAUGUAAACUCUUUUAUCUUCAAAAAAUCGAAAAAAAAUCAAAUGAAAUUAAUAUUUCAUUGUUGAGGAAUGUCUGUUUUCUUAAUAUUUUCACUUUUCUUAUUUCUUUUUAAAUCUGUUAAAUGCAGAUUUCAAUAACAUGACAUGCUUGCAGACUUCAUGCCCAGAUCCUGAAAUGCUGUCAGACCUCGAAAUAAUGAAUCAAGAAGUUGAUUGCAAUGAAAAUAGGUUUAAGGAAAUAAAACAAAGAAUCGGAACAGCUAAAGGAAAAUUGGCUUCAGUUUGGAAAGGUCCAUACAUUGCAACAAGAGUACUGCCAAAAUAGUGCGUUGUACUUGGGACACAUCGAAGGAAAUGUCCCAGAAACAACUGGCAAUGCAAAUACAGUCAAAAGGUACUCUGUUGGAUCCUCUAUAUAGCAUUAAUGUUCUCUAGUUGGGAUAAAGAAGGCUUUCUUUCUCAUUGUCCAAAUAUUCAACAUUUUGCAAACCCUUUGAGCCGGCUCCCAUUCUUUGAUUAUUAUCUUUGGAACCUGGAAGUUAUUAUUAUUUGACGACCUGACCAGUCUUAUCAUGAGUAACCGCUUUGUUUCCCCCAUUUAUGCUUCUUAUUGCUUUGUUUAUCGGUUAUAUAUGUGAUCGGGUUGGUUGGCUCGGGUUCGAAGAGGUUGUUGAGAAGGUUUGAGACACUUAGUCUCUUUUGAGUAAGUUUAAGUCGGAAAAGUCAACUGGAUGUUGACUUAUGUGUUAGAGGGCUCGGAUGUGAGUUCCGAUGAUUCGGAUAGCUUCGGGAGGUUAUUUGGGACUUAGGAGCGUGAUCAUAAUAUAUUUUGGAGGUCCGGAGUAGAUUUAGGCUUGAAAUGGCGAAAUUGGAUUUUUGGCAUUUUCCGAAUGAUAGGUGAGAUUUUGAUAUAGGGGUCGGAAUGGAAUUCUGAGAGUUUUAGUAGUUCCAUUAUGUCAUUUGGGAUGUGUGUGCAAAAUUUCAGUUCAUUCGGACAUGGUUUGUUAGAGUUUUUGAUCAAAAGCAUAAUUUAGAAAAUUUUGGAAUUCUUAGGCUUGAAUCCGAUGCGAAUUUGGUGCUUUGAUGUUGUUUUGAGCGUUCCGAAGGUUGCAACAAGAUUGAAUGAUGUUAUGGAAUAUGUUUGCAUGUUUGAUUGAGGUCUUGGAGGCCUCGGGUGGUCAAUCGGACCAUUUCAUGUUUUGGAAAAAUGUAGAAAACUGUUGUUCAGUGUUGUAGACAAAUGACCUUCGCGUUCACGAGGGAGGUUCCGUAUUCGCGAUGGGCUGGGAUCUUGUCCAUUGCAUUCGUGAGGUAUCAGACACGUUCACAUAGAGGAAGUUGAGCAGCUAGGGUUCAGGUAGAAUUGUUCUUCGCAUUUGCGGUGAGUAAGGGUGCUAAGCCUUCGCGUUCACGAGCUGAGUGUCGCGAUCGCGAUGAAGGAACUUUGGUCAAAGUAAGUUUGUGCUUAACAAAUACGAGGUGUUGAUCGCGUUCGCAAAGAAGGAUUUGAGGCCUGGGCAGAACGUUUAAAUAGCCAUUUGGUCCGUGAUUUUCGGUUAAGCGAUUUUGGAGCUUUUUUAAGAUGAUUUAAGAGGGAUUCAAGGGGAAACACUUGGAGGUAAGAUGUAUGGACUUAAUACUCGAUUCUAAUGUGAUUUCUAUCUAAUUUAUCAUGGAAUUUAAGCCCAAUAUUGAAGAACUAGGGAUUGUAAUUGGAGACCUAGAAUUUGGGACUUAAGGGGUCGUUUGUGGUUGGAUUUUGAUGCUUUUGGUAUGAAUGAACUCGGGGAGUGAUAAGGAGUCUAUUGAGGUAAAUUUUAUCGAAAUCCGAGACGUGGGCCCGGUGUCGGGUUUGGUGAAUUUCGGGAUUUGUGUUGUACUUUUAUUUCUUUCGAGUCGACAUUGUUCCCUUAGCAUAUUUUGAUGGUUUUGCACUGAUUUUGGUUAGAUUUGGCGCAUCUGGAGCCCGAUUCGAGGGCAAAGGCAUCGCGAGCUAGAGAUUUUGACCAGAUAGAGGUGAGUAAUGAUUAUAAAUGUUGUCCUGAGGGUAUGAAACCCCAUAAUGCACAUCGUUGUGCUAUAUUGAGGUGACACACAUGCUAGAUGACGAGUAUGGGGCCAUGCACUAUUGGGGAUUGUGACUUAGUCCGUCCUAAAUGAUUGUUUUACCGCUUAUUUGACUGAAAAUUGUUCCCUAUCAUCAUGUUUUGGGCUGAAUGCCAUAUUUGGGCCUCACGCCAAUUAUUUGAACCCUCAGGGGGAUUUUUGAUGAUAUUCCUCACUAUUUUGACUUUAUACUUGUACUCAUUCAUGCUAUAUUCUACUAUUUUCAUAACUCAGCCAUGUUUACUCUGUUUUAACACUUAAAAUAUAUAUUAAAUAAUAUUUUGGGAUGAGUAUCAUGUUUUACUGUUGCCCGAGUGUCUUAUGAGAUUCUGACUGAGUAAGGCCGAGGGACUAUGUUGUGAGGAAACACUGAUCUACGAUUUAGGAGGCCGAGGGUCUGAGAUUGUACGCCACAAGGUGGCUCUUUGAUAUGAGGUCGAGAUCCUACUGAUUAUGCCACGAGAUGGCUUGAUAUGCGCUUGGGCUAUAAGGGGCCCCUCCAAGAGUCUACACACCCCCAGUGAGCGCAGUAACACAUUGAGAUAUGAGAUAUAGCCCGAGGGGCUGAUUUUGUUGGUAUUGUGCCCGAGGGGCGGUUCCUUAUGUUUUUAUCCUUUCUAAUUGCCUAUCAUUCAUUUGCUUAAUUGUUAAAAAGGUAUUUUAAAGAAGCUUAAAUUGAACUAAGGUGACAUUACAUGUUUUCACUAUUUCACUGCUUUUGCUGGCUUUUACUGCUUCUUUAUAGCGUAUUGAUGUGCCUUUACGUGAUUUCUUAUCGCUCAAUUUUCAUUUGUUAUUAUUACUCACUGAGUUGGAGUAUUCACUUUACUCUCUGCACCCAUGUGUAGAUUCAGGCGCAUCAGGUCCUGCUUGCGAGGGUUGAGAGCUAUCCAGCAGAUCCUGAAGAUUCACUAGGUAGCUGCUCGUCGUUCGCAGCCCAGUGCUUCUUACUCUAUCUUAUUUUCUCCUAUUUUUAGUUAUGUAAUAGUGGUGUAGGCUCUUUUAGACUUGUAGUUUUGAUGAUAGAUGCUCAUGACUAGUGACACUCCGAUUUCGGGCUAUGUCUAUUCUGCAACUGUAUUAGUUACCUUAUUUUGGGAUUUUUAUAAUUAUGUUAAAGACUUAGUUGUAUUACUUAAUUGCUUAAAAAUGCAUCGGGAAUGUGUCGGCUGGCCUGUCUACAUGAGAGGCGCCAUCAUGACAGAGUUUGGGUUUAAGGUCAUGACAAGUUGGUACCAAAGCCUAGGUUACAUAGGUCUCACGAGUCAUGAGCAGGUUUAGUAGAGUCUUGCGGAUCGGCAAGGAGACGUCUGUAUUUGUCCUCAAAAGGCCGUAGAACCUUUAGGAAAACUUCAUAUCCUUGAAAUUCUUGUCGUGCAAAUUUGUUGAUACGAGUACUAAACUUUUGUUAUUUUAUUCUCUCACCGAUGGUGAGUACACGCACUACCGAUUUGGAUGGACGACCACUAGUACCACUAGCUGUGGCCAUUAGAGGUCAAGGAUGUAGUCACGGUCGCGGUAGGGGCAGGGGUGUGGCCUGCACAUCAGCUAGGGCAGCACCUGCAGAUCCACCAACCGCCCCAGUUCAGGAUCAAGUCCCAGUUGUGGACGCUCCAGCAGCACCAGCUCAGGCACCAGCUAUGCCCAUUGUGAUUCCGGGCUUCAGGAGGCCUUGGCUCAGAUUUUGUCAGUUUGCACUGGCCUAGCACAGGCGGUCUCAAUUACUACAACCGCAGCUACUUCUCAAGUCGGGGAAGGCAAUAAGACUUUCGCCGCUCGUACACCUGAGCAGGUCGUGUAGGGACUUCAGACAACGGGGGUGCAUCCAGCCCAACUGGUUGCAGCUUCUCAGGGCUAUGUAGCUCCUUCCAUGCUAGAGGACAAGCAAUGUAGGUUGGAGAGGUUUGGUAGACUUCAGCCUCCGACUUUCAAUGGUGUAAAGGGCAAGAAUGCCCAGGGUUUCUUGGACAAGUGUCAAUAGAUUCUUCGCACAACGGGUAUUGUGGAGACCAGUGGGUUCGCUUUCACUACUUUUUAGUUUUUUGGAGCUGCCUUCACUUGGUGGGAGGCGUAUGAGAGGCGUAGGCCUGUUGGUGCAGCACCCCUUACCUAGCAACAGUUCUCCGUUCUCUUUUUGGAGAAGUAUGUGCCGCAGUCUCACAGAGAGGAGCUGCAUAGGCAAUUUGAGUGGUUGCAUCAGGGAGAAAUGAUUGUGAUGCACUAAGAGAUAAGGUUCUCCGAGUUAGCUCGUCAUCCUAUUUGGUUGGUUCUGACAUAUAGAGAGAGGAUUAGGAGGUUCGCUGAUGGCCUCAAUUAUCAUCUUCGUAUUCUCAAGACCAGGGAGAAGGUGUCUGGCAUUACUUUUGAGGAGGUUGUAGACAUUGCUCAAGAGAUUGAGUCAGUUCACUGCCAGGAGCGAGAUGAGAGGGAGGCCAAGAGGCCUCGAGGAUCUGGUAGUUAUGGUGGUGCUCCUUCGAGUGGUUAGUUUAAGCAUGGCAGAGGUUGUCCAUUCAGGCAUGCUCAGCCAGCCCACCCAGGUUAUCGUGGGGCGUCAUCGGGUCAUGGUUCUCACAGUUCUCAUCAGGGACAGUCAUCACUUAGUGCCCUUCAAGCUCAAAGUUCGUGCCAUGCUCCAUCAGUUAAGGGCUCUUCUAUGCCAGGUGCAUCUGCUAGUCAUUCUGGUGCUAGGGGUUCCCUUCAAUCUAUGUCUCUAGCACUCGGGAGUUGCUAUGAGUAUAGAGAGACGGGUCAUAUGUGGAGGUAGUGUCCUUGUCAUCUUGCGGGUUCAUCUCAGCAGAGGAGUUAGCCAUCGGCUUCAGCACCAGUUACUUCACCACCACCCGCCCAGCUAGCUAGAGGUGGAGGUCAGUCAACUAGGGUCACCCUAGAGGGGGAGGUCGAUCAGGUGGCGGUCAGGCCCCGUUUCUAUGCACUUCCAGCUAGACCCAAUGUUANNNNNNNNNNNNNNNNNNNNNNNNNNNNNNNNNNNNNNNNNNNNNNNNNNNNNNNNNNNNNNNNNNNNNNNNNNNNNNNNNNNNNNNNNNNNNNNNNNNNNNNNNNNNNNNNNNNNNNNNNNNNNNNNNNNNNNNNNNNNNNNNNNNNNNNNNNNNNNNNNNNNNNNNNNNNNNNNNNNNNNNNNNNNNNNNNNNNNNNNNNNNNNNNNNNNNNNNNNNNNNNNNNNNNNNNNNNNNNNNNNNNNNNNNNNNNNNNNNNNNNNNNNNNNNNNNNNNNNNNNNNNNNNNNNNNNNNNNNNNNNNNNNNNNNNNNNNNNNNNNNNNNNNNNNNNNNNNNNNNNNNNNNNNNNNNNNNNNNNNNNNNNNNNNNNNNNNNNNNNNNNNNNNNNNNNNNNNNNNNNNNNNNNNNNNNNNNNNNNNNNNNNNNNNNNNNNNNNNNNNNNNNNNNNNNNNNNNNNNNNNNNNNNNNNNNNNNNNNNNNNNNNNNNNNNNNNNNNNNNNNNNNNNNNNNNNNNNNNNNNNNNNNNNNNNNNNNNNNNNNNNNNNNNNNNNNNNNNNNNNNNNNNNNNNNNNNNNNNNNNNNNNNNNNNNNNNNNNNNNNNNNNNNNNNNNNNNNNNNNNNNNNNNNNNNNNNNNNNNNNNNNNNNNNNNNNNNNNNNNNNNNNNNNNNNNNNNNNNNNNNNNNNNNNNNNNNNNNNNNNNNNNNNNNNNNNNNNNNNNNNNNNNNNNNNNNNNNNNNNNNNNNNNNNNNNNNNNNNNNNNNNNNNNNNNNNNNNNNNNNNNNNNNNNNNNNNNNNNNNNNNNNNNNNNNNNNNNNNNNNNNNNNNNNNNNNNNNNCUUAUGUGUCAUCAUACUUUGCUCAUUAUUUUGAUAUGCCCCGUGAGUCUCUUGUUUCACCUGUUCAUGUAUCUACUUCGGUAGGCGAUACUAUUGUUGUAGACCGUGUGUACCGGCCGUGUGUGGUGACUAUUUGGGGUCUGGAGACCCAAGUGGAUCUUUUAUUAUUGUGUAUGGUGGAUUUCGAUGUUAUAUUGGGCAUGGAUUGGCUAUCUCCAGGUGUGCCACAAAUUGAGUGGCGAGGUUUGACUGAUUAUGUUCCCUGUAGGGUAAUCUCAUUCUUGACGGCCCAGCGUAUGGUUGGGAAGGGUUGUCUUUUGUAUCUAGCCUUUGUGAGGGAUGUCUGUGCAGAGACUCCCAGUAUUGAUUCUGUCCCAGUUGUGAGGGAGUUUCCCGAUGUGUUUCCUGCAGACCUGUCGGGCAUGCCACCGGACAUGGAUAUUGAUUUUGGUAUAGACCUGGUGUCGAGCACUCAGCCCAUUUCUCUUCUGUAGUAUCGUAUGGCACCAACAAAGUUAAAGGAGUUAAAGGAGCAGCUCUAGUAACUCCUUGAUAAGGGGUUCAUUAGGCCUAGUGUGUCACCUUGGGGUGCGCCGGUUCUAUUUGUGAAAAAGAAGGAUGGCACUACAAGGAUGUGUAUUGAAUAUAGGUAGUUGAACAAAGUAACAAUUAUGAAAAAGUAUCCUUUGCCUCGCAUUGAUGAUUUAUUCGACAGCUUUAGGGAGCGAGGGUGUUCUCCAAGAUUGAUCUUCGUUCAGGUUAUCACCAAUUGAAGAUCAGGGAAUCGGAUAUUCUUAAGACAGCUUUCAGGACCCGAUAUGGUCAUUAUGAGUUCUUGGUGAUGUAUUUCGGACUGACCAAUGCCAGAACAACGUUCAUGCAUUUGAUGAACAACGUGUUUCGGCCUUAUCUCGACUCGUUUUUCAUAUUUUUCAUUGGUGAUAUUCUGGUAUACUUGCGUAGUCAGGAGCAGCACGUGGAGCAUCUGAGAGUUAUGUUGCAGAGAUUGAGGGAGGGGAAGCUUUAUGCAAAGUUCUCCAAGUGUGAGUUUUGGCUCAGUUCAGUGACUUUCUUGGUGCACGUGGUGUCUACCAAGGGUAUUCAGGUUGAUCCGAAGAAGAUAGAGGUGGUUCAGAGUUGGCUCAGACCGUCUUCAGCAAUAGAGAUUCGCAGCUUUCUUGGUUUGGCGAGCUAUUAUCGCCGGUUUGUUGAAGGAUUCUCAUCUAUCGCAUCGCCCUUGACCAAGUUGACUCAGAAGGGUGCUUCAUUUGUAUGGUCGUAUGAGUGUGAGGAGAGCUUUCAGAAUCUCAAGAUAGCCUUGACCACAACUCUAGUGUUAGUUUUGCCAUCAGCUUUACGUUUAUAACUAUGUAUUAUGAUGUUUCGAGAGUUGGUAUUGGGUGUGUAUUGAUGCAGGAGGGUAGAGUUAUUGCUUAUGAUUUUCGUCAGUUGAAGCCCCAUGAGAAUAACUACCCCGUUCAUGAUUUGGAAUUGGCUGUCAUUGCUCACGCACUGAAGAUUUGGAGGCAUUAUUUGUAUGGUAUGUCUUGUGAGGUGUUUACUGAUCAUCGUAGCCUCCAGCACUUGUUCAAGCAGAAGAAUCUCAAUUUGAGGCAGUAGAGGUGGUUGGAGUUUCUAAAGGAUUAUGAUAUUACUAAAUUGUACCAUCCGGAGAAGGCCAAUGUGGUGGCCGAUCCUUUGAGCCAAAAGGUGGUGAGUAUGGGCAGUUUGGCAUAUAUUCCAGUUGGGGAGAGACCUCUUGCAAUCGGUUCGUGAGGUUCAAUAUUUCGGAGCCCAGUCGGGUAUUGGCUUGUAUGAUUUCUUGGUAUUCCUUAUAUGAUCGCAUUAGAGAGCGCCAGUAUGAUGAUCCUCAUUUGCUUGUCCUUAAGGACAGAGUUCAGCACGAUGAUGCCAAAGAUGUGACCAUUGGUGAUGAUGGGGUGUUGAGGAUACAGGGCUGGAUAUGUGUGCCCAAUGUGGAUAGGGUUCAGGAGUUGGUUCUGGAUGAGGCCUAUAGCUCACGAUAUACCAUUUAUCCGGGUGCCGCAAAGAUGUAUCAGCAUCUGAGACAGUAUUGCUGGUGGAGGAGAAUGAAGAAAGACAUUGUAGGAUUUGUAGCUCAGUGUCUCAAUUGUCAACAAGUGAAAUAUGAGCAUCAGAGACCGGGUGGCUUGCUUCAGCAGAUGGAUAUUCUAGAGUGGAAGUGGGAGGGGAUCACUAUGGACUUUAUAGUUGGGCUCCCACGGACUUUAAAGAAGUUUGAUGCUAUUUGGGUAAUUGUGGAUCGGCUGACCAAGUAUGCGCACUUCAUUCCUGUAUGUACUACCUAUUCUUCAGAGCGGUUGGCAGAGAUCUAUAUUCGGGAGAUUGUUCGUUUGCAUGGUGUCCCAGUUGCCAUCAUUUCAGAUAGGGACACUCAGUUCACAUUGAAGUUUUGGAGGUCUGUGCAGCAAGAGUUGGGUACUCAGGUUGAGUUGAGCACAACUUUCCACCCUCAGUUGGACAGGCAGUCCGAGCGCACUAUUCAAAUAUUGGAGGACAUGUUGCAUGCUUGUGUCAUUGAUUUCGGAGGGUCAUGGGAUCAAUUUCUACUGCUUAUAAAGUUUGCUUAUAACAACAGCUACCAGUUGAGUAUUCAGAUGGCUCCAUAUGAGGCUUUAUAUGGGAGGGGGUGUAGAUCUCCAGUUGGUUGGUUUGAGUCGGGUAAGGCUAAGCUAUUAGGGACAAACUUGGUGCAGGAUGCUUUAAAAAAGGUGAAGGUAACUCAGGAGAGGCUUUAUACAGCACAGUCGAGACAAGAGAGUUAUACUGACCGAAAGGUUCGGGAUGUGUCCUAUAUGGUUGGUGAGAAGGUUCUAUUGAAGGUUUUGCCCAUGAAAGGUGUUAUGAGGUUUGGGAAGAAUGGUAAAUUGAGUCCUCGGUUCAUUGAGCCUUUUGAUGUGCUUCGGAGGAUUGGGGAGGUGGCUUAUGAGCUUGCUUUGCCACCCAGAUUGUCGAGUGUGCAUCCAGUAUUUCAUGUUUCUAUGCUCCAAAAGUAUAUUGGGGAUCCGUCUCAUGUUCUGGAUUUCAGCACGUUACAGUUAGAUGGUGAUUUGACUUAUGAUGUGGAGCCAACAACUAUUUUGGAGCGUCAGGUUCGAAAGUCGAGAUCAAAGGAUAUAUCUUUAGUGUAAAUGCAGUAGAGAGGUCGGCCUAUAGAGGAGUCUACCUGGGAGAUCAAGUGGGAUAUGUACAGAAGAUAUCCUCACCUAUUUGAGGCUUCAGGUAGGUUUCUUGACUCGUUCGAGGACGGACGUUUGAUUAAGAGGAGGAAGAUGUGACGACCCAGUCAGUUGUCUCAUAAGUUACCAUUCUGUUUCCCCCAUUUCUGCUUCUUAUUGCUUUGUUUAUCGGUUCUAUAUGUGAUCGGGUUGGUUGGCUAGGGUUCGGAGAGGUUUUUGAGAAGGUUUGAGACACUUAGUCUCUUUUUAGGAAGCUUAAGAAGGAAAAGUCAACUGGAUAUUGACUUAUGUGUUAAAGGGCUCGGAUAUGAGUUCCUAUGAUUGGGUUAGCUUUGGGAGUUGAUUUGGGACUUAGGAGCGUGAUCGGAAUGUGUUUUGGAGGUCCGGAGUAGAUUUAGGCUUCAAUUAGAUUUUUGACGUUUUCCGAUUGAUAGGUGUGAUUUUGAUAUAGGGGUCAGAAUGGAAUUCCGAGAGUAGCAGUAGUUUCAUUGUGUCAUUUGAAAUGUGUGUGCAAAAUUUUAGGUCAUUCAGACAUGGUUUGGUAGACUUUUUGAACAAAAGCGUAAUUUAGAAGAUUUUGGAAUUCUUAGGCUUGAAUCCGAUGCGAAUUUGGUGCUUUGAUGUUGUUUUGAGCAUUCCGAAGGUUGGAACAAGUUUGAAUGAUGUUAUGGGAUAUGUUGGCAUGUUUGGUUUAGGUCCCGUGGGCCUCGGGUGAGUUUCGGGUGGUCAAUCGUACCAUUUCAUGUUUUGGAAAAAUGCAGAAAACUGUUGUUCAGUGUUGCAGACAAAUGACCUUCGAGUUCGCGAGUAGGCCCUCACGUUCACAGAGGGUUAGCAGGUGAUACUGAGGAUUUAUCCUUCGCGUUCGUGAGGGAGGCUCCGCAUUCUCGAAGGGCUGGGAUAUUGUACAUCGCGUUUGCGAGGUAUCAGACGCGUUCGGGUAGAGGAAGUUGAGAAACUGGGGUUCAGGUGGAAUUGUUCUUCGCGUUCGCGGAAGGGGUGCCACGUUCACGGUGAGUAAGGGUGCUAAGCCUUCACGUUUGCGAGCUGAGUGUCCCGAUCGCGAUGAAGGAAGUUUGUUCAAAGUAAGUUCGUGCUUCGCGAACGCGAGGCGUUGACCGCGUUCGCGAAGAAGGAUUUGAGGCCUGGGCAGAAUGUUUGAAUAGCCAUUUGGUCCGCGAUGUUGGGGUUAACUUCUACCAUUUUUGUGUGAUUUUGGGGCUUUUUGAAGAGGAUUUAAGAGGCAUUCAAGGGGAAACACUUUGAGGUAAGAUUUAUGGACUUAAUACCCGAUUCUAAUGUGAUUUCUACCUAAUUAAUCAUGGAAUUUAAGCCUAAUAUUGAAGAACUAGGGCAUGUAAUUGGAGACCUAGAAUUUGGGAUUUGAGGGGUCGUUUCUGGUUGAUUUUGAUGAUUUUGGUAUGAAUGAACUCGGGUAGUGAUAAGGAGUCUAUUGAUGUAAUUUUUAUUGGAAUCCGAGACGUGGGCCCGGGGGUCAGAUUUGACCAAUUUUGGGAUUUGUAUUGUAAUUUGAUUUCUUUCGAGUGAGCUUUGUUCCCUUAGCAUAUUUUGAUGAUUUUGCACUGAUUUUGGUUAGAUUUGGAGCAUCCAGAGGCCGAUUCGAGGGAAAAAGGCAUCGCGAGCUAGAGAUUUGGACCGAAUAAAUGGUGUCCUGAGGGUAUGAAACCCCGGAUUGCACAUCGUUGUGCUAUAUUGAAGUGAUGGACACGCUAGAUGACGAGCGUAGGGUCGUGCACUGCUAGGGAUUGUGACUUAGUGCAUCCCAAAUGAUUGUUUUACCGUGUAUUUGACUGAAAACUAUUCUCUACCAUCAUGUUUUGGGUUGAAUGCCAUAUCUGAGCCUCAGGCCAAUUAUUUGAACCCUUAGGGGAUUUUUAAUGAUAUGCCUCACUGUUUUGACUUUAUACUUGUACUCAGUCAUGCUAUAUUCUACUGUUUUUAUAACUCAAUCCUGUUUACUUUGUUUUAACACUUAAAAUAUAUAUUAAAUGAUAUUUUGGGCCGAGCAUCAUGUUUUACUAUUGUCCGAGUGGCUUAUGAGAUACUGAUUGAGUAAAGUCGAGGGCCUAUAUUGUAAGAAAACACUGAUCUAUGAUUUGGGAGGCCGAGGGCCUGAGAUUGUAUGCCACGAGGUGGCUUGUUGAUAUGAUGCCGAGAGCCUACUAAUUAUGCCAAAAGAUGGCUUGAUAUUGCACUUCGGCCGUAAGGGGCCCCUACAGGAGUCUGCACACCCCAGUAAGCGCGGGUAAUCAUUGUGAUAUGAGAUAUAGCCCGAGGGCUUGAUUCUGUUGGUAUUGUGCCCAAGGGGCGAUUCUUUAUGUGCUUAUCUUUUCUAGUUGCCACAAUGAAAAUCUCUCUGGUAAAAAUGGAUCCACAGCCUUAUGCAUCUCAACACACGAUACCACCCAAUCCCCGAGACAUUGAUCAAGACAUGAUGAAACCAACUUUCAAAGAAAUGUUAACCACUUCAAAUCUAAUGCUCUUCACACCUAUUGACAAUCAACCCAACAUGGAUUUCCCAAAUUUGGCUCAGAAAAACACUUGGCUGAUCAUACAACUUUAACACAUACACGGGGUAUCAAGUUCAUCUCACUCACUGAGGAAGAGAAGCAAAAAAUUUACGAGCCAUGGAAAAAUUCCAUCAUUGUGAAACUAGUGGACAAACGAAUGCUACAUCACUAACUAAAGAAAAAAAUUCAAGAACUAUGGAGGCCAACGGAAGAUUUCCAAUUAAUUGAUCUCGGAGAAGACUACUACAUCACUAAAUUCAAGAGCAAGGAAAAUAUGGAUAAAGCUAUAAAACAAGGACCUUGGUUCAUUAAUGGGUGCUUUCUCUCCAUUACAAGAUGGAAGCCAAAUUGUGUUGCUACCAAAGAGAAAGUAACAAAUUCGGUAGUAUGUGUUAGACUUCCCCAAUUGCCUACUAAAUUUUACGAUGGGACAAUUCUGGAAAAAAUUGGUAAUGCAAUUGGCCGGCUACUAAAAAUAGACGUUUGUACAUCAACCAGCUUAAGAGGUCGUUAUGCAAGACUAUGUGUGGAGCUCCCAUUGGAAAUCCCAGUCCAACCAUUUCUCUAUGUUGGCCACCACAAACAAGUAAUCCAUUAUGAAGGAGAAAAUUACCUUUGUAAAUAUUGUGGACGACUGGGACACAUAGAAAAAUAAUGUACUUACAUUAUUCACUCAAUAAAGGACAAUGAAGAACCAAACAUGGAGCAAUCAACAACAACAAAGUCAGAGGAGAAACAAGAAGAAUGGAAAACAGUUUCUUUUACCAAAGGAAAGCAACAAGGUGCAAGAGGUAAUCAAACGCACAUCAAUGCAAAUCCGAUCAAAAAAUCAAAAGGCCCAGGUAUCUCAGUUAAAUUGUUCAAUGCCAACACUGGUAAGUACUUAGAUACACAAACUCUUGCAAUACACAUCUAAAGAUCAUAAGAAUGCUUCUUCUUCAUUACAUACACACAAUUCCAAAUUUACGGCCACUAUGGUUGAAGAACAAACCGAUUUGACAACAAAAAAACAACUUUUACCUUCUAAGUGAAGAGCCAAUAUUUUUGGGAGAAAUCACCAUGGGAGAAAAAAUUCUAAAAGAAAAUAUUAAUAAUUGUCAUGCAAUUGAACAAAUGUCCUUAACUAACAAGGACAUUGACAUGUUGGAAACAAACGUGUCUUGUUUUAGUAGUCCUACUAAUCGCAUUAACAAUGUUGCCAUGCAAGAUUACCAUCUAACUGACCAAACUACCCCUACUAAUAAACGUAAUGGAAUUGUCAAAACUAACCUUACUAACAAGAAAAUUGGUAAUAAACCAACGAUUACCCAAACCCUCAAGAAAAAUCAUUCCUCGAUGUCUGAUCAUCUCACCACCCCUAAGCAUGCCAUCCAAAUGGAAAAGGAGAAAGAAAAUUUUUGACAAGUGUCUUCCAACCUAGAGCACGCAAAGCAUAUGGAAGAUCAACCUAUAUAACUCAAUCUUGGGGACUCAAACGCCAUGCAAAAAGAAGCUCCAAUCAUUACUCUAUCAACCAAUCCUUCCCAUAUAUUCAAUAGCCCCUCCCCCAUGCCUAAGUUAGAUCCUUUAUGUACCCAAAACUCCGGCCAUAAUGCCCAGUAUACCAUCAUCUCUAAGGUGGGGACACAAACUUCUCCAAAUACUUCGUCAACAUAGAAUUGUCAUGGAAAACCUUCCAUCUCUACACCCUUAACAAGAAAAUCAUCAAAUAAUUUACAUCCAACCACCACAAGCACAAUAUUACCAACCUGUGUCAUGGAUAGAGAUGGUCCUGAUGGGCCAUGCAUGCUUGUUCAAUGUCCAGAUAAAUGGCCAGGACUCGAUCAUCAUUCUUCACGAAACUUAAUGCCUAGCCCAACUAGUGAUAGAAGGCAUGAGGUUGGCAAUGAAUAAUUAUCUCAAUCAGGCUUGGCUCAAAAACUUCCUUCAACCCCUAGCACCCUCAGUGAAUCCCCAAUUGUUCCAUGCAAUGAGGAACCAAUGGAACUUACCACCACACUUCAAUCCAAUCUACCCAUAAAAUGCUCUCCUGGAUAUGCCCUUCUUCAUGCCGGAGACUUUAACUCAGUUGAAUCUCAUAAUCCUACCAUGGGAACAAACUCAGCCAGCCCAGGAGCCACUAAUACCUCCAACUCAUCAACAACCUCCAUCUCCACCCCACAACCAGGUGCAUGUACCUAAACCAGUAGAGGCAGAGAUGGAGGAGGAGGAACCCCUCAAUCUACUCUUAGAAAGAGUCCUAGAAAUCUCAAGUCUCGAUGGAGUAGAAGUGUUUCUCUUCACGGAGAGGCAAUAGAAAAGGCACGUGCUUAGUUGACCACUAGCAUUAUACAAAUUCUCGAUGGACAUAAGACCACCUCAGGAUCCAACAGUGGGCAACAAAACCAUGAUCCUAGUUCCAUCAUUGAGAAGGAACCUAGUCUUAGGGGCAGUGAGGGAAAAUGGUGAUGCGGCAAACUCGAAUCUUAAUAUCUCUAUGAAUUGACCUACAAAUAUUAUUAUUUGGAACAUAAAGGGAGGGAACAAUGAUAACUUCAGGAGAAACUUCAGGGAAAUGGUAGAUACACAUAGACCUUGCAUGGUGGCUUUGUUAGAAACUAGAAUGGGAAAUCAUAUGGAGUUGCUGGAUGAUUUUGGGUUUACAGAAUUGAUAGAGGUGCCAACUGAAAGCCAGUCAGGAGGGAUAGUGGUACUGUAAAACCAUGAAAUUGUAACUAUCUAAAACUUUGUUCGAAGGGAUCAAUAAAUUCAUGCUACGAUCGAGGUAACUCCUAUACGUAAAUAUUGGUUUUUAGUGCUAUUUAUGCUAUUACAAAUAUGCUUAAUAGGAAUAUGAUGUGGGAUAAUCUUGAGAAUAUUAGCAAAAAUUAUAAUGGUCCUUGGUUAUUGGGGGAGAUUUCAAUGAUGUUUUAGGCUCAAAUGAGAUAUUUGGUGGCAAGUGUAUAAAUGACAGUAGGGCAAAUCAUCUUUGGUCAAAAAUUAAAAAUUGCAACUUAAUUGACUUAGGUUAUAAAGGGUGUAAAUAUACCUGGUCCAACCAUAGACAUAAAAAUAAAGGUCUCAUUAUGGAAAGGCUUAAUAAGGUAUUAGGAAAUGAGGAAUGGAUUAAUCUCUUCCCAGAGAGUUCUAUUAUACACCUCCCGAAGACCCAUUCGGACCAUAACCCUAUCUUAGUAGAAUUAAUCCCAAAAAAUAAUUAUCUCCACAAGCCACCCUUUAGACUUGAGACCUACUGGUGCAAGCAUCCAGAAUUCAAGCCCUUAGUUCAAAAUAAUUGGACAAAUACUGACUAUAAUAGGGCUAGCCAAAAUUUCAUAGAAAAAGUUAAGGUUUGGAAGCAACAAACUUUUGGUGAUAUAAUGGGAAAAAAAGAAAGACCCUAACCCGCCUUCAAGGUAUUCAAACUUCCAAGAACUAUCCUUAAAAUACUUUACUCCAAACCCUAGAAACCAAUCUAAAAAAAGACUACAAUGAUUUACUAAAAAUAGAAGAAGACUAUAGAAAAUUAAGGUCGAGGGUUAUUUGGAUAAAUGAGGGAGAUGCUAACACUAAGUUCUUCCACAUCUCUACCUCCAAUAGAAAAGGAAGGAAUAAGAUUAACUUCUUUAAAUAUGAGGAAGGAAAUUGGAUGAAUGACCCUCAUCUAGUCACCUCUCAUGUUUGUAAUCAUUUCACUAAUAUUUUUAUCACUUCACACAACAAAUCAAGUCGGGUUAGUCCUCUAAAAAAUAUCUCUCAAAAUUUUUUAAACCUUAAUUGUCUAGAUAAUCCCUUACUUGAUAUCGAAAUCACAAAAGGCUCCCUUCUCUUUUAAACCUUUCAAAGCGCCUGGUUCGGAUGGCCUCCAUCCAUUCUUUUUCCCAAAAUACUGGGAUAUUAUAGGACCCUCUGUGACAAACUUGUGUCAUGACAAUUUUAAGAAUCAGCAAAUCACCCAAGAACUUAACAAAACUUACCUCUGCCUAAUUCCAAAAAUACCCAAUGCCAACAACAUCAAAAAUUUUAGACCUAUAGGCCUAUAUAACACCAUUUACAAAUUAAUCACUAAAAUCCUAGCAAAUCGUCUCAAACCCUUCCUUGAUCAGCUUAUUAGUCCUUGUCAAGCGAGUUUUAUAAAAAAUAGAAGGGCAUCUGAUAAUGGUAUUAUUCAGGAACUAGUUUCAAAAAUCCAUAAAUUAAAAGGAAAACAAGGUCACAUGCUCCUUAAAAUUGACCUAGAAAAGGCUUUUGACCGAUUAGAAUGGUUAUUUGUGCAUCACACUUUAACCUACUUCAACUUCCCUCAAAAUUUUAAAAAACUCCUCUUAAACUGCAUCUUAACUAGAUCCAUAGAUGUAUCAGUUAAUGGCUCAAUUAGUACAUUUUUUAAACCAAGUCGGGAAAUUAGGCAAGGGGAUCCUAUAUCCCCUUAUGUCUCGAAAUAUUGUCAAGAUAUAUAAACCAUUAAGUUGAUGUUAGAAAUUGGGAUCAAAUUACCAUAGGGAAAAGAAGCCCCAAGUUUUCACACCUUUUCUUUGCAGAUGAUCUCACCCUAAUGGCUAAAGCCAAUAUGAAAUCGUGCCAUGCAAUCCAAAAGGCUUAGACUUUUCUUGUAAUCUAUCAGGGCAAUGUAUCAACACUUCAAUGUCCAAAAUUAUCUUUUCUAAUAAUUGUCCCCAAACUCUAUUGAAAGAAAUUACCAUUAGUUUGAUUAUUAAAAGAAGCGAUUCCUUUGGUACAUAUCUAGGUUUUCCUAUAUUAAACAAACACCCUAGGCCAAAAGAUUAUCAAUUCAUAAUUGACAAAAUAAGAGCCAAACUAACGGCUUGGAAAAUGAAUUUUUUCAAUAUAGCUUGCCGGACAGCACUCUCACUUUCUUGUCUAAACUCAAUCUCUAACCACUAUAUGCAAUACACCCUACUUCAUACAAACACUCUUAAUAAAAUUGACAAAGUGCAAAGGGACUUCAUAUGGGGAACUACUAGUGAAAAGAAAAGAAUUCACCUCAUCAAAUGGUCCAUCAUUUGCCAGCCAAAAUGCAAGGGAGGCCUUGGACUCUAUAGAGCUGAAGAUAAAAACCUUUGCAGCCUUGCUAGCCUAGCCUGGAGAGCCCUUAUGAACCCUACCACCCUAUGAGCAAACCUAAUUAUUAGUAACUAUGCUAAUAACUUCAACACUAUUAAAAAUUCUUUUAUCUGGAAAAGCAUUCAAAAGGGGUGGGAGUUAUGUUCCAAAGGUAUCAUUUGGCAGCCCAUCACCAAUCCAACAUGAAUAUUUGGGAAACCUAUUGGAUUCCGAAAUUGGGGAGCCUUAGAAAAUCAAUAGAAGGCCCCUUAUUAAGAAAGGAUUACUCAAUAAGAAUAAGAGACAUCUUUGAUGGCAAAAACUAGCAAUUUGGCAAUAUAUCCAUCAAUCUUCCCAAAUAAAUCAUGGACACCAUAUCAAAGGUUAAAAUCCAUAUUAAAAAACCAAAUUGUGACAUCCCUAUUUGGUCUCUAAAUACGAAAGGCUUCUUUACAAGCAAAACUUGCUAUACUAUCAUGGACUCUAAUGAGGGCAGGGAAAUCGAUUUUAAAUGGAUUUAGGAUCUUGCAUGCCCAAAUAAAAUCAAAUUCUUCCUAUGGCAAUGCUUUCAUAAGAGAAUACCUUGUAGACAAUAUCUAGCAAAAAUUGGCCUAAACAUUGACCACCAACUGCCCUAUAUGUAGAGAUCAUAUAGAAGAAUCCAUAAUACAUAUUUUCUUCAAGUGCAAAGCCAGUAAACAACUUUGGGACAACCUUGGAUGGGAAAACUCCUAUAAGGAGGAUGGUGAUCAUUGGUUAAUCGAAUUAAAAAAAUUUGACUAUCCGUUAAAUAAUAAAAUUUUAAAUUGGAAUCUCUUCUUCCCUUUCGCUAUCUGGCAUAUUUGGAUAAACAGGAAUACCAAUAACCAAAAGAAUACAAAUUACCCUAUCAAUAUUAACCACAUCAUUGCUAGGGCUACUGAAUUUCGACUCCUAACAGAAAAGAGUAUUCUACCUUCUCCAAAAAUCCAUAUCAAUGUUAAAUGACAUAGCCCCCCAAAGGGAUGGUUCAAAUUAAACAUUGAUGCAAGUUUCAACAAAAAUCUACAAAAUUGUGGUCUGGGUUGAGUAAUCAUAAAUGUUAAUGCCCACUGGAUAGUAUGCAAAAUCAGCUCAUGCACGUGGAUCACUGCAUGUUGAGAUCAAAUCACUACUAGCGGGACUUAAAACAACUCUUAAUUGGGGGAUGUGCCCUUUCCAAAUUGAAACAGAUUUGACGGAGGUAAUCUGGUCAAUCCAACAAGGUAAUAAUCUUUAUACUAACAUUGUCAAUAAAUGCAGGUUGUUAUUGCUCAUGUUGAAGCAGGUAAUCAUCUAGCAGGAGUUCAGGUAAGGGAAUAAAGUAGCUUACCAACUGGCACAGAUGGCAACUGCUGAUCUCAGGAAGAAGAAAAAAGUUUUUAUGGAUCCACCAGAUGAUGUAAAAAUUCUAGUAGAACGUGAUUUAAUAGAAAAAUAUAUUUUUGGAAAACUUUUAUCGUAUGAUGCUUGUAAUACUUAAGCAAGCCUAGGUAAUCAAAGUGUCCUAUGUGACACUAACUAUGAAUCUCAUGUAUUCCAUGUUCCUUAACCUUUAAUAUAUAUAUUUCCUGUUGGCUAAAAAAAAAAAAUAUCUUUUCUAGUUGCCUGUCAUUUAUUUGCUUAAUUGCUAAAAAGGUAUUUUAAAGAAGCCUAAACUGAACUAAGGUGACAUUACAUGUUUUCACCGUUUCACUACUUUUACUGGCUUUUACUGCUGCUUUAUAGCAUGUUGAUGUGCCUUUACGUAAUUUCUUAUUGCUCAGUCUUCAUUUAUUAUUAUUACUCACUGAGUUGGAGUACUCACUUUACUCCCUGCACCCCAUGUGCAGAUUCAAGCGCAUCAGGUCCUGCUUGCGAGGGUUGAGAGUUGUUCAGCAUAUCCCGAAGAUUCACUAGGUAGUUGCUCGGCGUCCGCAGCCCAAUGCUUCUUCCUCUAUCUUAUUUUCUCCUGUUUUUAGUUAUGUAAUAGUGGUGUAGGCUCUUUUAGACUUAUAGUUUUGAUGAUAGAUACUCAUGACUGGUGAUACCACGAUGUCGGGCUAUGUCUAUUCUGCAACUGUAUUGGUUACCCUAUUUUGGGAUUUUUAUUAUUAUAUUAAAGGCUUAGUUUUAUUACUUAAUUGCUUAAAAAUGCAUUGGGAAUGUGUCAGCUGGCAUUGUCUUCACGAGAGGCGUCAUCACGACCGACUCCGGGUUUAGGGUCGUGACAUAUUGACUAAUGAUGAAUGAAAAAUAAAAAAAAUAAAAAGAGAAGAAAAGAAAAAUACAUAAAAAAAGAGGAAGAAAAGGGCAAAAAUAAAAUAAAAUGAAAAAAAUAUGAUGAUGAAAAAAAGAAAAAAAAAGAAGAUAGAGGAAAAAGAAAAGGAAAAAGAAAGAGAAAACAAAAGAAAACCAAAAAAACAAGCUUCCUAAACUACGUUCGACUUGAUUCCAAAAGGAUACGUAGGCAACCUCUCUCUGGGGUUCAGUCACACAAAAAUAAAAAUCCAAACUCCCCCCCCCCCCAAAGUGAAAGAGGGGCAGAUGUUAUAACAGUUCAACANNNNNNNNNNNNNNNNNNNNNNNNNNNNNNNNNNNNNNNNNNNNNNNNNNNNNNNNNNNNNNNNNNNNNNNNNNNNNNNNNNNNNNNNNNNNNNNNNNNNNNNNNNNNNNNNNNNNNNNNNNNNNNNNNNNNNNNNNNNNNNNNNNNNNNNNNNNNNNNNNNNNNNNNNNNNNNNNNNNNNNNNNNNNNNNNNNNNNNNNNNNNNNNNNNNNNNNNNNNNNNNNNNNNNNNNNNNNNNNNNNNNNNNNNNNNNNNNNNNNNNNNNNNNNNNNNNNNNNNNNNNNNNNNNNNNNNNNNNNNNNNNNNNNNNNNNNNNNNNNNNNNNNNNNNNNNNNNNNNNNNNNNNNNNNNNNNNNNNNNNNNNNNNNNNNNNNNNNNNNNNNNNNNNNNNNNNNNNNNNNNNNNNNNNNNNNNNNNNNNNNNNNNNNNNNNNNNNNNNNNNNNNNNNNNNNNNNNNNNNNNNNNNNNNNNNNNNNNNNNNNNNNNNNNNNNNNNNNNNNNNNNNNNNNNNNNNNNNNNNNNNNNNNNNNNNNNNNNNNNNNNNNNNNNNNNNNNNNNNNNNNNNNNNNNNNNNNNNNNNNNNNNNNNNNNNNNNNNNNNNNNNNNNNNNNNNNNNNNNNNNNNNNNNNNNNNNNNNNNNNNNNNNNNNNNNNNNNNNNNNNNNNNNNNNNNNNNNNNNNNNNNNNNNNNNNNNNNNNNNNNNNNNNNNNNNNNNNNNNNNNNNNNNNNNNNNNNNNNNNNNNNNNNNNNNNNNNNNNNNNNNNNNNNNNNNNNNNNNNNNNNNNNNNNNNNNNNNNNNNNNNNNNNNNNNNNNNNNNNNNNNNNNNNNNNNNNNNNNNNNNNNNNNNNNNNNNNNNNNNNNNNNNNNNNNNNNNNNNNNNNNNNNNNNNNNNNNNNNNNNNNNNNNNNNNNNNNNNNNNNNNNNNNNNNNNNNNNNNNNNNNNNNNNNNNNNNNNNNNNNNNNNNNNNNNNNNNNNNNNNNNNNNNNNNNNNNNNNNNNNNNNNNNNNNNNNNNNNNNNNNNNNNNNNNNNNNNNNNNNNNNNNNNNNNNNNNNNNNNNNNNNNNNNNNNNNNNNNNNNNNNNNNNNNNNNNNNNNNNNNNNNNNNNNNNNNNNNNNNNNNNNNNNNNNNNNNNNNNNNNNNNNNNNNNNNNNNNNNNNNNNNNNNNNNNNNNNNNNNNNNNNNNNNNNNNNNNNNNNNNNNNNNNNNNNNNNNNNNNNNNNNNNNNNNNNNNNNNNNNNNNNNNNNCUUGUUUUAAACUCAUUAUCCAUUCCAUUAUUUGUUUUCUUUGAAUCCCUUUUGGUUAACUCUGUUUCGAAACUAAGAUAAAGAAAGGAUGGUAAGAAUGAUUUACAGGGUUCUCAUUUGACACGAGCUCAUGUGCAAUAAGACACCCAGCCUCAUCGGGGGCAUCAAGUCGACUUCGACCAGCCAUGGUGGCUGAUGUUUUGAAAUUGAAAAACUCUUGAAAAUAAAGGAAAUCAAAGUCAAAUGCCCACAAAAGCAAAAUAAAGUUAAAAAAGUUGAGUCACAUAUGGCUAACCGUCAUGGCAAAGGUUUGAAAAGCCAAAGUACCCCAAAUGUACUGAAAGUGAAGUUGGAAGAAAGAAGCCAGAAAUGAAAGGCCUAUGAAGGCAAAAUAAAGUUAGAAAAGAUUAAGUCCCACGCGACUAGCCCUUGCAGCAAAGUUUGAGGAGCCAAAAAGUUGCCCAAUACGCCAAGCCCAAUGCUCCGAAGAAAAAAAAAAGAAAUCAGAAGGGAAAAGCCUACGAAGGCAAGAUAAAGUUGAAAAGGUUGAGUUCUACCGACCAAUCAUCAUGGAAAAGUCUGGAAAAGCCAGAGUUUCUCCAGAGUCAGAAAUGCAAUCGGUAUUCAGGAAGCAACCAGUUAAAGUUAAAAGGGCCGAGAACAAGUGAUUGAAAUAGUCAAGGCCAUAAAAUCAACCACCGUUUCAAACUAGCAAACUAUUCUUUGUUUGAAAAAAAAAGGAAAUAGGUGCAAUCCAAAAGCAACCUUGCAAGAAGCAUGUGCAACCAAAAGAAAGGGCACAAAGGCUAAAAAAUAGCUCUGUAGCAACACCUUAAAAAAAAGGAUGUCUUCUCCAAAAUUCUUUCCCGCAUUUACUCAUUCUCUGAAGAAAAACAAUGAUGAUUAUGUUGAAAUAAAAUGAAGAGAAUGAAAAGCAGAAAAAUUCAAAAUCAUGGUUGCAAAGGGUCCCACUCUCUAGCUGAUGUCAGCAUAACCUGAAAAUCUUUUUCCAACAGAGGGUCUCAUUACCUAGUCGAUGCCACCACAACUUGGUAAUCUUUUCCCAAUAUAGGGUCCUAUUCCCUAGUCGCUGCCAGCAUAACCUGGUAAUCUUUUUCCAGUAGAGGGUCUCACUCCCUAGUUGAUCCCCAGCAUAACCCGUGGACCUCCCGGGCAUAACCUGAUGACAUUUCAGGCAUAACCCGUGGACCUCCCUGGCAUAACCCGAGGACCUUUUCCGGCAUAACCCAAUGACUUUACCGGAAUAACACGUGGACCUCCCUAGCAUAACCUGAGGACCUUUUCCGGCAUAACCCGAUGACUUUUCCGGCAUAACCCGUGCACCUCCCCGGCAUAACCCGAGGACCUUUUCCAGAUAACCCAAGGACCUUUUCCGGCAUAACCCGAUGGCAUUCCCGGCAUAACCCGUGGACCUCCUCGGCAUAACCCAAGGACCUUUUCAGGCAUAACCCAGUCAUUUGCCCAGCAUGACCUGGUAAUCUUCCCAACUCAGGGCCUCCGAUCCCUAGUUGAUUCCAUUGUAGAUAUAGGGUAUCCACUCCUUAAUAUCUUUUCUUCCAAGUAUACACAGUCCUGAUUUUAUUGCUUUCAAUAAAGAUUUAGUUUAGAUUUUUGUUACAAUAACUUACAAAAUUUUCCUAGUGAAAAUUUGGGCAGAAAAAAUUCGUUCGUUUGUUUGUUUUGGUGCCUGAACGGGUUUUUACCUUGAGGCACAAGUUUCGAGGCGGCCAAAAGAAGAAAUCUUGAUUCAAAUAAAAAAAAAAGAAAAAAGAAAAACAAGGAAAAGAAGUCAGCUCAAAGUGCAGAAGCAGAUGAAAGAUGUGAACUACUCAAGACAUGGCUGAAGUCAAGAGCGUUGCAUGUCCGGUCUUGAUCCGAAGAAGCCGUGAAAGAAUAAGCCUGCAUCUGCAACUAACAAGCAUCAAGAUUCAGAUCAGAGUUCACAUGAAGAACCAACCAAGACUCAAGAUCAAUCUUCUGAAAACUCAUAGAUAGGAAUCUUGUAACUCGUAGCUGAUAGGCUUAGUUAGUCUUUUAAUUUUGAUUUUGAUGUAAUAACGGGACCAUGGACCGAAACCUAGAUGGGACCUCACUCGACUCUCGAAUUCAUCACUCCAUCAUUCUCCAGAACUACACUGACCUGAUUCCUUUAUAGCCAAGGAUAUGUAGGCAACCUCCGAAGCAAGGUUCGGUCAAACUUUUUUCAAAAUGCUUCCAAAUGGAGUUUCAAACGGGCAAAAAUUGCUCGUAAUUGCUCACUUUAUCUUUGCCCAAAAACUUUUCAUGUUUCUGAGCAAAGAGGGGAAGCUGUGAGCACCUAAUUUUUGCCCUACAUUAAAAUAACUACUAAAAAUAAAUCAAAAAAUGAUUUUAAAGGGAUUUUAGAUGUUUUUCUUUAUUUAGUUGCAUUUCAUGCAUUUUUAAUAUUUUAAAAUCAUAAAAAAUUAUCACGUUUUAAUUUCAUGCCAUCUUAGGCUCAAUUUGCAUGUAGAAAUUAAUUUUAUUAAGAAAAAACACAAAAAUGAUCAUUUUUACGUAUUUAGCUUUUAGUCUUUAGAAAGUAGUGUUUUUAUUUAGUUUUAAGUUAAUUAGUUAUUUUCAUUGAUAAAUAAUUUUAAUUUUUACAAAUUAGAUUGAUUUAGGAUUAAUUUAGGAUUUUAUUAGAUUUUAAAAUCAAAAAAAAAAAUGGAAAAAAAGAUUAUGAUUUAGUCUUAGUGUAUUGGGCCAAAGAUAAUUAGCCCAAAUUCAUGACCCAAAUCCCUUCAGGCCCAAUACCCAUUAAACCCAAUACCCUAAAAAACCCAACUCACUCACUUUUAAUAGAUUUUUUUAGACUACCAAAACCUAGAGAUUUAACGCCUAGACCCUUAGGAGCUUUCCACCAUGUUUCACAGACCCCCUCCCCCCCGGAUCUCAUCUUCUUCGACACACCCCACAAAGAAAAACGAAAAGAACCCAUCUUCUUCUAGACUCUAAGACCAAAACCAGUAGCAGCACCCUCACCAAUCCACCCCCUGAACCUCUCUGACGCCGUCCGGCCAACACCAGCAGCUCCUGCUUCGCCGGAAUGCCAAUCAACCUCCCAAUCGUUUCCCUUAGUUUGUAAAUGACCUCCCUUAAACAGGGUGGAUCUUUUUCUUAAAUACUCACCUCACAAUAGACCCGUUGCUGCUCUUUCAUCAACAGAAAUGGACAGAAACUGGCAACCACUAACACACAAACAGUAAGAGAAACAGAGGUACACGGAUAGAGAGAGAAGAGAACGGGAAUGAAAAAAACAUGUUUACUUCUUUCAGUUCUUUUUUGAUUUCUCAUCUCAAACUUGGAGAUAUUGUCCUUUGAUUUUUCGUUCCAAAUGGAUGAAAUUUGAGUUUGUGUUGGUUGCGAAUUUUGUCGCCUAUUUAAGGUUCCGUUUGAGCUAUUGUCUGAUUCGACUCCCAUUGUAGCCAUGGUUUCAUUUUGUUUUGCUUGUGUAACUGCUGAAUUCAAAGUUACAAAUUAAAACCAAAGCAAAAACAGAAAAACAAAGAGGAUUUGAAAGCCAAUUCAGUUUCUAUUCAUGUAUGUCAUUUUUGGAAUAGCGAGAGACCUUUUGAUUGUGGAGGAACUGUUUGGCUUCUGCUAACUGUUUGAAUUACGAUAUCUACUUUGUUGGGAUCUUGAAUUGGAUUUCUGCCUUAUUUGGCCUGAUUUAGUGCUUUCUCAUGUCGAUUAGUUUAGAGUUUAUUUUGAGUUCCAUUCGAGGUGCCGAGGUCGUUUGGCAAAUUUCCGGUCGAAAUCUAAUCUUGUGCUCGAUAUUUGCUAUUGUAACCAAUUUGCACUGAAGCUAUAAAGGUUCGAUUUCACUAUCUUUAAUCAUUUUAUUGACCUAUUGCUUGUGCUUAGUUUUUGGUUGAGCUUAUCUUGAUAAAAUCUUAGUAUGAAGUAGCCUACUGUGUAAUGGUUGAAAUCUUAAAAGGAUUUGGGUCAUAAUUUAAUGGAAAUAGGCAUUGGCAUUAAGAGAUCAUUUCUGAACCUAUAACUAUGUGGUGCGUUUUAAGAAGGAACCAUAAUUGGGUUUUGGCAUUACUUCAUUAAUUUUUACUUUAGAAUGGUGUUAUAAUGUUAGGGACAAUUGGGGUAGUAAAUUCAUUGACCAAUUGUGUCAUUGGGGUAAUUGUGAUUAAUUGGAAUUAAGCCAUGAUGUUCUGAACAUAGUAACGAGAAUUUGCAGCUUGGAUAUUUUAUUGCUCCCAUUUAAUGUUAAUAUCACUUGUAAUAUUCACAGUUUGCUUUAGGCACAUUUAAUAUAUCAUCGUGAUUGUGUACACGUUCGCAUGACAUAAUUAUAAUUCUAAAAACAAACCGAGGUAUGCGUUCACGCAACUUCGAUCAAAACUUUUCUUAAAUAACUAAUAAAGCAUGAUUAAUUGUGGACACGAAUGCGUGACAUGAUUUUUGACGCGCCAAGAGAAACGAGUACACGUACCGCGACUCAAUUCUUUAAUUACAAAUAAUCAAGCAAUUAAAAGCGGUAAAAGGUAAAUGUACAUAGGUUCUAAAAUAAGUAAUUAGACAACUUAAGUCGAGUAUAAAUCGCUAAGCGACCAUGCUAGAACCACGGAACCCAGGAAUGCCUAACACCUUCUCCCGGGUUAACAGAAUUCCUUAUCUAGAAUUUCUGGUUCGAGACUUUUAAAUAAAGUCGAAAAUUUCCUCGAUUUGGUAUUUAAAAAUAAACUGGUGACUUGGAACAACAAAUAAAUUAUUCCAAGUAGCAACUCUGAAAAACAAAUAAAAUAAUCUCAUUUCGAAUAAUAUCACUUUAAUUGAAAAAGCUCCCUCAUAUACCCUAUCGGGUAGUAAAAAGGAGGCGUGACAGCUAGUUUAAUUAGGAAAGGCAAAACCUGGAGCGUUGAUCAAAACGAUCAACGGCUAGGAUUUGGCUGGGUAUUGUGUCGGGUAGGUGUUCCUACAUUAGGUAGGGUAAUUCUGGGGUCCGGCUUGGGCUGAAUUGGAAUUGGGCUGGAAUCGAAAUGAAAUUAGGCUAGAUUUUAAAUAGCCAUUUCAGUACUAUAUAAUUUAUAAAAAAUAAUAAAUGAUUUCAAAAAAAAUUUUCAUUUACUAAAAUAAUUAAAAAUAGUUGUUUAACAUUUAAAAAAAAUAAAAGACCAAAAUAUGUAUUAAUAACGUAAUUAUGCAUUAAUAUGGCCAGUAUUGCAAAUAUACACAAAUUAACUAAAAAAUGUAAAAUGCAAUUAUAGAAAAUAUACAAAAAAUAUUUAAGCAGUAUUUUGGCAUAAAUAUAGAAUUUAGAUGGCUAGAUUAACACAAAAAUAAUUUGAAGGAUAAUUAUUAGAAAUUUUAUAAAUAAAAAGGGAAGAAAUAAAUAAAUUUGGAGCUUUUAAAAAUUAUAAAAAUUGCAUAAAAAAUUAGAAAAAUGCUCAUGCAUGCUUAUAACUGCAUAUAUGCUAUUUUGAUAGUACAUAUAUGUAUUAAAAACAUAUAAGGAAAAAUUGGCUAUGAACAACUGCCCCUUUUUACCCGGGAAGGAUGAAAGAGUUUUCUGGUAAAGAAAUGAUGGCCAAUUUUGAUCGGAUGAGAUAUUUUGAAAGACAGAGGCCGGACUCUGGUCUUCGAGUUGCCUACAUAUCCCUUGUCCUACAAAAAUUAGGCCAUAUUUAGUUCUGGAUUCAUUGACGGAAUAUACCGAUGAAGUCAUUGCAAGAACAGACACGGGAUGCAAAAGCGACUAUGGUGAGCGGUUAAGGUUCGAGACAGUUGAAGGAACUGGAGCAAGGUCGCUCCGGCUAGGAUAGCGGUUUCUUACUGGUAACCUGCAGAUAAAAAAAUGCUGCCGACAUUAUCCUAUUCCACGAGAUCCAGGAGCCCUCCACCCACUCCUCCUCUUAGUCCUGUCAAAAACAAGAACAUAGGCAAGAUGGAAGAUUUGAACAACGUCAGAAAGGAGAAUCCAACUGAACGGGUAGAGUCCACUAAUGACCAUGGUACUCAAGUUCCUAAAGAGAAUGUAUCCCAACUUGAACAAAAGCUGUAGAAAUUCCAAGAAGAUCUCAAUCAUAUUCGGAAUCUGGCAACCCUGUCAUUUUCCCUCAGCACCCCAGAUAUCAACUUUCCCAAUACUCAAAACCCCACACCUCCUCAAAACAUCCCAAAGCAACAGAAUUAUCCUUCUCCUCACCAUCAUACUGUUCCACCAAAAACCCAAUGUAACACCUGCCAUACUCCCGAACAAUACUCCGCUACUCAUCCCGGAACUCUAAAACCCCACAAACAACCACUUUCACACCCACCAUAACACCCCUAUUUACAUGGAGACCAUGCCACACACCACCCAACCUAUCUCAAUCACACCUAAGUCUAAUGAAAAGGAUCUGCUUAUCAGAAACCUGACUGAGGAACUUAAGAAAUUGACUAGCCGAAUCCAGGGCGUUGAGGGAAGAAAGGGAAUCGAGGGGCUAAACUAUGAAGAUAUUUGCAUUCAGCCCGAUGUUGACCUGCCCUUGGGGUACAAUCCUCCGAAGUUUGAAAUGUUUGACGGUACAGGUGAUCCAAAGGUCCAUUUGAGGAUGUACUUCGACAAGCUGGUUGGAGUAGGAAAAGACGAGAGAAUCCGCAUAAAGCUGUUCAUGAGGAGUUUGAAAGGAGAUGCCUUGUCCUGGUACAUCAGCCAAGAUCCAAAGAAGUGAUCAAGCUGGGUAGGCAUGGCGUCCGACUUUAUGGACAGGUUCAGGUUUAACACAAAGAAUGCAUCGGAUGUGUUCUAUAUUCAGAAUCUAAAGAAGAAGCCUACAGAGAAGUUUUGCGAGUAUACUACUCGCUGGAGGUCCAAAGUUGCUAAGGUCAGACCUACCUUAGAGGAGGAACAGAUGAACAAAUUCUUUGACCAAGCUCAGGACCCGCAGUAUUAUGAACGUCUAAUGAUGAUCGAGAGCCACAAAUUCUCCGACAUUAUCAAACUGGAAGAAAGAAUUGAAGAGGUUAUCAAAAGCAGAAUGGUUACAAACUUCGAGGCCUUUCAAGCUAUAAAUAAGGCCUUACAGUCCGGUGGUGUGUCCAAGAAAAAGGACGCAGGGGCCGUGAUGGUUGCACAAAGGAUCAAAUCUCUCCUCAAAUACCAAACUUACCCAACACCUCCACUGAUAUAUCAGCCAACCCCAAAUUACCAAGCACCUUCACUCUCAUACCAAGCUCUGCCACCUACUUAUCAAUCGCCUCCACCUCCCACACAUCAACCUACAUCACCUAGAUACUCACAACCUGCUCAUGUAUACCAAACCUACAAUGAUCAAUCAUCCCACUAUCAAUCACCUCCUACAUGCCAAAACUUCCCUAGGCCCCGACCUAAUUUUGACCGCAGACCUCCAAAACAAUAUACAACCAUUGCCAAACCUAUUGGCCAAUUGUACGAGAGACUCAAAGUUGUUGGUUAUUUCACGCCUAUCCCUGCUGCAACCUCUGAAAACCCUUCUCAGUGGGUUAACCCAAACAAAUCUUGUGCAUACCACUCCGGCAUGAAAGGGCACACCAUCGAUGAAUGUCGUUCCUUGAAAGACAAGAUCCAGAAUUUAAUUGAUAAUAAUAUUAUUAUGGCAAAGGAACCCACUCCAAAUGUCCGUAACAACCCCCUGCCAUACCACACGGGUCGAGGUAUCCACAUGAUUGAAAUAGAGGAUAAUUGGGAUACCGAGGGAUCAAUCGGGUUGAUCGCAGAAGGUGAUGACCCAAAGAAGCCAAUAGUUACUCUUAAUCCAAUCAUAGUCCAAAUUCAACCAUCUGGAGGCCCUGAGGUAAAUAUGUCUGUGCCACUUGAAUUUGAAGCAACAUCGCCUGCAAAGACACCAGCACUAAUUGAGGUCGAACUCGUGUCUCUAGCAAAUACAUUGUCACCGUUUGAAGUCGCAAUUUUACCACCCAAGUCACACGAUCCAUUCAGAUUAAGGAAAGCCACACCAAUCCUAGUGGCAAUGUUGGCCAUGACACCAUUCCAUACAAAGGUUGUAACCAGGGACUAUACAGCUGAGGCAAGGAGGAAAGACAAGGUCAGGUUCGAAGAGACUAUUGCAGCACAAGGUUGACAAGACCUGGUAGAGUCUGUACCCCGAGCAUCUAGCUGAGUCAAGCAACUAGGACUCCAACCGGCCACUCAUCAUUGAGACAGGUCCAGACGACCUUUGGAGAAAGAUACAAGCCAAGGAAUACUCAGUCAUCAACCAGUUGAACAAAACACCAGCGCAAAUCUCCAUUCUUGCUUUGCUACAAAAUUUUGAGGCACACAAGAACGCUCUAUUAAAGGUGCUGAGUGAAGCAUACGUACUAGGUAACAUCACUGGCGGGGAAAUGGCUAACAUGGUAGGACAAGUUCUGGAGAGCCAUAAGAUCACCUUUCAUGAUAGAUGUUCCAGCAUCUUACAACUUGCUGCUGGGACAGCCAUGGAUUCAUGUUGCUUGGGCCGUAGCAUAAACCCUAAAUUAGGCAGUAAAAUUCUAAUGGAAUCACCAAGAGGUGAUCAUCCGGUGACGGUAGCAACCCUAUAUACAGUUGCCAAACCAUUCUAGCAAUUGAAGGAAGAAGGAAACUUACCAUCCGGUGACGGUGGAGAGACUUACCAUCACAUUGAACGGGUAAAUGCUGUUGACAAGGAUAAAUGGUGGGAUAACAAAAUCGAUAGUAUUCUGAAUUUGAGAGGGUACGAGCUUGGCAAGGGGCUCAGCAAAAACCUCCAAGGAAUCACUAAGCCCAUACAACUCAAGAAGCAUGGCACUACUUUUGGUCUAGGAUAUGACUACACAUGGGAAGAACUCAACAACUGGUCGCCACCACGGUGUGGUCCUUACUAUCCACUUGAGCAACCAAUAACACGUUUGGAGCAGUCUUUCCAACAGGCUGACAUCGUUUAUGGGUCGGACGAAGAAGAAGCACUUGCAACGGUAAAGAAUUUGUUCCUAGAAGACAAUGAUAUGAACUGUUGUAUUGUUCUCAAGGAGGAGGGGAGGAAGGCCCUUCCAUACAGGCUGUGAGCAAAGGGGAACGCCUCAAUAAUUGGACCAUCCAGACAACCAGAGCCCGAUGAGCCUCGGGGUAGCAAGGCUAAAACAAGCAUCAUUGAUUGUUUUAUUUACUAAAUGAUUUUCUUUUCGCAUUUUUCAAUUCCCGCAGUAAAAUCUUCGAUGUUCAAAACUGUUAUGCAAUUUAUCAAAGCAUUUUGACUUUUCUUGUGAAUCAACACUCAUUACCAUUUUCUCUCAUUACUUUACUUAUACAGCAUUACUAUUAUUUAUCUUGAUGAACCAAUGAUUGUGACAUGCAAUGAGACAACGCAACAAACAAACAUUGAUUCAGAGGAAGAUAACAUACCUGACGAGAUUGUUAAAGAAGUUGAGAACUUCAAAAACAGACCUAAGUCCAACCUAGACGAGACAGAAAUUGUUAACUUGGGAGAUGCAGGAAACGUCAAGGAAACACGAAUCAGCGUUCACUUAUCGCCAUCAGAAAAGAAGGAAUACAUAGAAUUUCUAAAGGAAUAUGAGGACAUAUUCGCCGGGUCAUAUGAUGACAUGAUUGGUCAGAGUACGUCUAUUGUGGCGCAUAAACUGCCAACCGAUCCGACAUGUCUGCCGGUAAAGCAAAAGCUCAGAAAAUUCAAACCUGAUAUGAGUUUGAAAAUCAAGGAAGAAGUCACUAAGCAAGUCAAAACUAAGGUUCUCAGGGUAAUGGAAUACCCGACAUGGUUAGCCAACAUCGUGCCAGUGCCAAAGAAGGACGAAAAGGUCAGAGUUUGUGUCGACUACCGAGAUAUCAAUCGGGCCAGUCCGAAAGACGACUUCCCUUUGCCAAAUAUACACAUCCUGAUUGACAAUUGCGCCAAGCAUGAGCUGCAAUUAUUUGUAGAUUGUUUUGCAGGUUAUCAUCAGAUUUGGAUGGAUGAAGAAGAUGCUGAGAAAACAACUUUCAUUAUGCCAUGAGGGAUGUACUAUUACAAGAUGAUGUCGUUCGGCCUAAAGAAUGCAGGGGCCACCUACAUGAGGACCAUGACUACCAUUUUCCAUGAUAUGAUACACAAGGAGAUUGAGGUAUAUGUAGAUGAUGUCAUCGUCAAGUCCAAGAAGGACACUGAUCACAUGGAAGAUUUGAGGAAGUUCUUCAAUAGAUUGCAGAGGUAUAAUCUGAAACUGAAUCUCGUGAAGUGCACAUUUGGGGUUCCUGGUGGAAAAUUGCUUGGGUUUAUUGUGAGUCGCCGAGGAAUAGAACUGGAUCCAUCAAAAGUCAAUGUUAUUUAAGAAUUGCCACCGCCAAAGAACAAGAAGGAUGUGAUGAGUUUCUUGGGAAGACUUAACAUCAGCCAGUUCAUAGCAUAGUCUACAGUUAUCUAUGAGCCAAUCUUUAAGAUGUUGAAUAAGGGAGUCGCCACCAAAUGGACCGAUGACUGCCAAAAGGAAUUCGACAGAAUCAAGGAGUACCUGUCAACACCACCAAUUUUGGUCCCGCCCGAGCCAGGUAGACCCUUAUUACUCUACCUUGUAGUAUUGGAUGGAGCUUUCGGUUGCAUUCUGGGGCAACAUGACGAAACGGGGAGGAAAGAGCAGGCCAUCUAUUAUCUCAGUAAGAAGUUCACCCUGUACGAGGAUCGGUAUUCUCUGUUAUACCACACUUAUUAUGCUUUGACUUGGGUAGCUCAAAAGCUGAGGCAUUAUUUCUGUGCCUAUACUACAUAUCUCAUAUCAAGGAUGGAUCCUUUGAAGUACAUCUUUCAGAAGCUCAUACCCACUGGCAAGCUAGCCAAGUGGCAAAUCUUGUUGAGUGAGUUUGACAUUGUUUAUGUAAUUCAAAAAGCGGUAUACCACCUUAAUGAGAAUCCCAUGGAUGGAGAAUACGAACCCCUAAAAAUAUAUUUUCCUGACGAAGAGGUAUCAUUCAUAGGAGAAGAUAUUAUAGAAUCCUAUGAUGGUAGGAGAAUGUUUUUCGAUGGAGCAGCAAAUUUCAAAGGAGUUGGUAUAGGAGCAGUCCUAGUAUCAAAAACCGGUUAGCAUUAUCCGGUGUCUACCAAACUCAGGUUCCUGUACACCAAUAAUAUGGCCGAGUAUGAAGCUUGCAUCUUAAGACUCAAAAUGGCUAUUGACAUGAACAUUCAAGAGUUGGUGGUGAUUGGAGAUUAAAACCUACUUAUAUAUCAAGUGCGAGAAUAAUGGGCUACUAAGAACUCCAAGAUACUCCUGUAUCUACAUCAUGUAUAGGAACUGAUAAAGAGGUUCAUGAAGACGGAGUUCCAACAUGUUCCCAGAGUCCAGAAUGAGUUCGCCGAUNNNNNNNNNNNNNNNNNNNNNNNNNNNNNNNNNNNNNNNNNNNNNNNNNNNNNNNNNNNNNNNNNNNNNNNNNNNNNNNNNNNNNNNNNNNNNNNNNNNNNNNNNNNNNNNNNNNNNNNNNNNNNNNNNNNNNNNNNNNNNNNNNNNNNNNNNNNNNNNNNNNNNNNNNNNNNNNNNNNNNNNNNNNNNNNNNNNNNNNNNNNNNNNNNNNNNNNNNNNNNNNNNNNNNNNNNNNNNNNNNNNNNNNNNNNNNNNNNNNNNNNNNNNNNNNNNNNNNNNNNNNNNNNNNNNNNNNNNNNNNNNNNNNNNNNNNNNNNNNNNNNNNNNNNNNNNNNNNNNNNNNNNNNNNNNNNNNNNNNNNNNNNNNNNNNNNNNNNNNNNNNNNNNNNNNNNNNNNNNNNNNNNNNNNNNNNNNNNNNNNNNNNNNNNNNNNNNNNNNNNNNNNNNNNNNNNNNNNNNNNNNNNNNNNNCCAAUAAAGAAUCCACUUAUUAGUCCAGCUUACUGUGCCAAUGUUGAAGAAGAAGCAGACGGAAAGCCUUGGUUUCAUGAUAUCAAGUAAUAUUUAGGAAAAGGAGAAUACAUAGAGCGUGCAUAUCCUACUCAAAAACAUGCACUUCGGAGAUUGGCCAACAACUUCUUUCACAGCGGAGAAAUCCUGUAUAGGAGGACUCCUGGUUUGGGACUAUUAAGAUGUGUUGACACAAAGGAAGCAUCCAGGCUACAAGAGGAAAUUCAUGCUGGGACCUGCGGGCCACAUAUGAACGGUUUUGUCUUAGCAAAGAAGAUACUCCGGGCUGGUUACUUUUGGAUGACCAUGGAAACAGACUGCAUCUAGUAUGUUCGGAAAUGCCACCGUUGUCAAAUACAUGCAGACAUGAUAAAGGUACCUCCAAAUGAGCUUAAUGUAACAAGCUCACCAUGGUCGUUCGUCGCCUAGGGAAUGGAUGUUAUUGGACCAAUCGAGCCUUCUGCUUCCAACGCGCACAAGUUUAUCCUAGUAGCAAUUGAUUAUUUCACCAAAUGGGUCAAAGCAGCAUCUUAAAGAGCAGUAACUAAGAAAGUCAUGGAAGACUUUGUCCGCGACCGCAUUGUUUGUCGAUUCGGGAUUCCAGAGUUGAUCAUUACUGAUAAUGGCUCCAACCUCAAUAGUGACUUGAUGAACUCCAUGUGUAAAACCUUCAAGAUCAAACACAAGAAUUCCACAGCCUACAAGCCUCAAAUGAAUGGAGCUAUAGAAGCCACCAAUAAGAAUAUUAAGAAGAUAUCGAGGAAAAUGAUAGAGAAGCAUAAACAAUGGCACGAGAAGUUAUCAUUUCCUCUAUUGGGGUAUCACACCACAGUCCGCAUAUCAACCGGGGCAGCCCCCUAUAUGCUGGUUUAUGGCAUAGAGGCUAUCAUUCCCGCUGAGGUAGAAAUUCCUUCCCUAAGGAUUAUACAAGAAGCUGAGUUCGAUGUGCAGAGUGGGUAAAGAGUCAUUAUGAGCAACUAGCCCUUAUAGAUGGAAAGAGAAUGAAUGUAGUUUGCCAUGGCCAACUCUAUCAGAAGAAAAUGUCCAGAGCCUUCAACAAGAGAGUCAAGCCAAGUUAGUUCACACCGGGGUAGCUGGUGUUAAAGAAAAUUUCUCCGCCUUAGGAUGAAGCCAAAGGAAAUUUCUCUCCCAACUGGCAGGGUCCAUACAUGGUUCACCGGGUUCUGACAGGAGGAUCCCUCAUACUUGCAGAAAUGGACAGAGAAGUCCGACCAAAUCCGAUCAAUUCAAAUGCAGUCAAGCGCUACUAUGUGUAAUCUUUAUGCUUUCCUUAUAUGAUAUUAAUUGAACUACGUCUGACCUGAUUCCUGUUUAAGUGGGGAUACGUAGGCAGCCCUAUGAGUUCGGUCACAAUUCAAUAAAAUUGUCAUUUCCCCCAGCAAUUGGAAACUGGGGCAGAAUUUUGAGGAGGACACUCAAAAUUCCAAAGUAAUUUCAGUCGAUCGUCGCAAGCAACAGUCAGAAGCAUCAACCCAUUAAACUAGGGUAGAAUUUUAAGGAGGACUCUCAAAAUUCCAUAGCAAGAGAGGUUGCAAUGUCCUGAACCACGUCACAGUCUCCGGUUCAUCUAGAAGCUAUCUUAACUAUAUACUUAUGUCAAUACUUUACAAAAUCAUGCAUGUUUAUUAUCGAAACUGCUUUGUUUAGCAACGCUACCACAAUGAUACAGACAAUAUCACCAGAUCAAAGCCGAGCAUGUCAAGCAAAGCCAGCGGGGAUACGAACUAACCUCUCCCCUUUACAAAACUCACUAUUUUUCUUUGGAUGCAGACACUUGGAUUGCGAAAUCACUGAACACACUAUACACCUAUGGGACAAACAUUAUUCAGGAAUACGCCCACCUAACUGUUACAUUUACAAACAUUUGCUAUCAACAUACAUCGAUGAUGCCCUGUAUGUCACAAUGAUCCCAAUAAUCGCAACACCGCAAUCUGCUAUUAACUAAGAAACUCUACUACCAUUUGCCAUUUUAUUUUUUGCAUAAGGCUACCAUUCUGCCUUCCGAGACUAAACAUUGUCUCUAUUUGCAUCUGUAUUGCAUAAGGCUACUAUUCUACCUUCCAACUUGCAUAAGGAAACCAUUCUGCCUUCCGAGGUUUAGCUCUACCUCCAUCUGCAUUCCUACAUAAGGCUACCUUUCUGCCUUCCAACUUGCAUAAGGCUACCAUUCUGCCUUUCGAGGUUAAGCUCUGCCUCUACCUACAUUAGCAUUACAUAAGGCUACUAUUCUGCAUUCCAAUUUGCAUAAGGCUACCAUUUUGACUUCCGAGGUUAAGCUCUAACUCCAUCUACAUUCCUGCAUAAGGCUACCUUUCUGCCUUCCAAUUUUCAUAAGUCUACCAUUCCGCCUUCCGAGGUUAUGCUCUACCCCCAUCUGCAUAUUUACAUAAGGCUAUCAUUCUACCUUCCGAGGCUAAGCUCUGCCUCCAAUUUCCUUCGAAACUAAGCAGUAUCUCAAGCAUCAUUUAUUUUGUUUCUAUUACAGGCUAAGCUCUACCCUUCAAUUUGCAAGACUAAGCUUUGUCUUGUCCGCAUCAUGCUACUGCAUCUUAUGGCUUAAAGAUCGCCACAUACUACAUCUCAUGGCUGAAAGAUCUCCUCAUACUGCAUCUCAUGGCUGAAAGAACGCCAAAUACGGCAUCUCAUGGGCUGAAAGAUUGCCAAAUACUGCAUCUCAUGGGCUGAAAGAUCGCCAAAUUAUCCAAAGGCGUCAUCUUCAUAGCCCGAGAACACCAUGUCAUGGCCUGAGGAUCCCCUUUUAAUCUUUUGCAAUCAUUAUUCAAAGGCAUAAUGGUUCAGAGGCACCAUCCUCAUAGCCCGAGAGCAUCAUUUCAUGGCUUGCAAAUCCUUUAUAGUACGCUUCAUGGCCCAGGAUGUCAUGGUCUAAAGGACGCCAUCCUAACCAUCCGAAGGCAACACUCAUGGUCCGACUAGAAUUUAUAUAUGUUUAAAUUUACACUCGAUAUACGCUUGUAUUAUUUCUAUUUGCAGGUACAUCGAAGAGAAACGGCCAUCCCAGCUGGAGCGAACCCGCUCCAGUUCCUGCAGCCACAUCAAACCUGACCAUUCCCAUAACCUUUCAUUUACCCGACCCUAGAUAUUGCGUUCGUCCUUGAAAAGUCUCGUCAGCCUACUCCGUCGAUGGAUCUUGAACUGCAUAUGGCUUGAUUCCUAUAAAACUAGGGAUAUGUAGGCAGCUCAAAAGCCAGGGUGCGGCCUAUCUUCUUCAAACUGUUUCGCUCAGUCAAAAUUGGCCAUCAUAUCUUUACCCGACAACUCUUUCAUCCUUCCCGGGUAAACAGGGGCAGCUGUUGAUACCCAAUGUUUCCCUAUAUAUUUUUCAAUAUGCAAAAUACCUUCAAAAUAGCAUAGAUAUAUAUGCAUACAUAAGCAUGUCCAAAUGUUUUAUUAUUUUUUCAUAAUUUUUAAAGGUUUUAAAUUCAAUUUAUUUCCCCCUUUUAUCCAUAAAAAAUCCCAAUAAUUAAUUCUAAAAUCAUUAUUUUGUUAAUUCAUUUGUUGGACUUUUAUAUUUAUGCUAAAAUAUAGCAAAGGUAAUUUUUACAAAUUUAUUUAGUAUUUUUUAAGAUAAAUUGCAUAUAAUUUCAAUAGUAGCCCUUUUAAGAUUCAAUUGUAUUUUAUACUCAUAAAAUUAAGUCAUAUAUUUUUAAAUUGUCAAUUAUAUGUUAUAAAUUAUUUUAGUGCUUUCAAUUUAUUUCCAGAAAUUAAUUUACUAUUUUUAUAAAUUUAAAAGGGGAAAAUUGGCUAUUUAAAUAAUAGCCCAAUUGCAUUUCAAUUGUAGCCUAAAUCUGAACCCAAUUUAAACCCAAUUUCCCGGCCCAAUUUCAAUUAAANNNNNNNNNNNNNNNNNNNNNNNNNNNNNNNNNNNNNNNNNNNNNNNNNNNNNNNNNNNNNNNNNNNNNNNNNNNNNNNNNNNNNNNNNNNNNNNNNNNNNNNNNNNNNNNNNNNNNNNNNNNNNNNNNNNNNNNNNNNNNNNNNNNNNNNNNNNNNNNNNNNNNNNNNNNNNNNNNNNNNNNNNNNNNNNNNNNNNNNNNNNNNNNNNNNNNNNNNNNNNNNNNNNNNNNNNNNNNNNNNNNNNNNNNNNNNNNNNNNNNNNNNNNNNNNNNNNNNNNNNNNNNNNNNNNNNNNNNNNNNNNNNNNNNNNNNNNNNNNNNNNNNNNNNNNNNNNNNNNNNNNNNNNNNNNNNNNNNNNNNNNNNNNNNNNNNNNNNNNNNNNNNNNNNNNNNNNNNNNNNNNNNNNNNNNNNNNNNNNNNNNNNNNNNNNNNNNNNNNNNNNNNNNNNNNNNNNNNNNNNNNNNNNNNNNNNNNNNNNNNNNNNNNNNNNNNNNNNNNNNNNNNNNNNNNNNNNNNNNNNNNNNNNNNNNNNNNNNNNNNNNNNNNNNNNNNNNNNNNNNNNNNNNNNNUAUUUUAUACUCAUAAAAUUAAGUCAUAUAUUUUUAAAUUGUCAAUUAUAUGUUAUAAAUUAUUUUAGUGCUUUCAAUUUAUUUCCAGAAAUUAAUUUACUAUUUUUAUAAAUUUAAAAGGGGAAAAUUGGCUAUUUAAAUAAUAGCCCAAUUGCAUUUCAAUUGUAGCCUAAAUCUGAACCCAAUUUAAACCCAAUUUCCCGGCCCAAUUUCAAUUAAACCUAACCCCAACCCAAUUAAACUGACCCAAACCCGGAUUCCCCACCUACGCUAUGAUCAACGACCACCGUUCCCCCUUACAUUGUAACCUUAAAUGACCCCUUACCCUACCUCAUUCUUCAGCAAACGCCGCCCUUGAAUUCUCUUUCCCUCUCAAUUCUCUCUAAAACCCUCAUGAACCCUAGCCACCGCCAUCUAAUCCCACCCUAAUACACCCUCAACCCCUACCUAAUCCAUGGCCUCUCAGGGUCAUUUGAGAUGUGUAUCAGCCUCAUAUGGCUCCUUGGUGUUUGUUUCUGUGGUUUCAUGGCCAGAACUGGAGGGAUCUGGUCCAGUCCAGUCCUUGCUCGUCUUCAGUUCAUGGCCUUUCUCCGGUCAUCCAUGACAUUUUUCCGGCCAUUCAUGGCCUCUCAAGGCAGAUCCUUGACUUGCCUGGUUAGAUCGGAAACUUUCAAGGUCUUUCUCAUCUUUUCUGGGUUUUCCGAAACCAUAAUCUUUAAGAUCUUUUGAUUUUUCUUUACGAUCUACCAUAGAUCUGUGCUUACCAUGAAUUUCUUAAGUGUUUUCUCGAAGGUUCUUCAACUUUUCUUUUAAAACAACUCUUCAUUUUUUCCGACGAUUAGGGUUUUCCUUUAAGUUAUUUCAAAAGAUCUCUUCUUUGAUUUUAAUGUGUUUGUGAUUUUGCUAUGUUUUUCUCAUGUUGUUAUUCUAUCUGUUUCAACAUGUUAAAACCGUAGUCCCCUUUUGGUCCUAUCCGAGUUCUGAAAUUGCUUGCCUAAAUGUAUAUUUGUUCUUUGUUUUUGACUCACUUUUCUUUGUUUGACUUGUUUGAUUUUUAGUUCUUAUCAUCUCUAAAACUCGACUACUGUCGAAGCCCUAAUUUUUGAAAAGGUUUUCCUCACUUGAUACUAUGAGACCUUUACUUGUUUCUGAUUCUGUUUACAUGUUGCUAUGUUUUCUUCACUGUUGAUUCUAUGUGACUACUUGACAUACUUGACUACUGUGUUUCGAAUAUUUUCCUUACUACUGAAUCCUAGCUUGCUUCUACCACUACUAUAUGAUUGUGUUAUCUCUUUUUCCAAUAUGUUUGGCCUCGUAUGUUUGAUGCUUUUGUUCACUCUAUUUGUAUACUAAAGUGCAGAAUUGUGUUUCUUCCUUGAUUGUCUUGAUCUGGUGACUAAUUGCAAAAGCUUUUCUUUUAUUACCCCUAAUUUCACUCGCCUGUUUAAAAUUAAUUGAUUCCUUUCCCCUUACUGUGAUGUUGUACCUUGCUGAAUCUUUUCCAAAAUAAGCAUAUCUUUGUACUUAGACUUGAUUGUUUACUUCAUGCUUUUACUACCCCUUUUAUGGCAAUAAUCAAUCUAUCUCCAAACUGAUUUUCUUUCCUUAAUUAGACUUGCUGCUACCCAUUAAACAGUGAUUCCUUAAUUAAAUGGAAUCAAAUGUGGUAAUUGAUUCUGAUUUGUGAUUGUUUCCAUGUUUGUGUUAAGACUUUAUUUAUUACUUUAUUCUUCACCUUUUUUGAAAAUUAUAAAUACCCACCAUCAUUUCUUUCAAAGACAACCCAUCUGAGUUCAGAACACACACUUCGCUCAAAAGUCUCUCUUUUCUCUACUACUACUCGUGUUACUGCUUUGUGUAGCCGGCUGAAAGCCAAAACUAGGCUAUGAAAAUUUGCUUACUUUUCCUUUCUGCAACUUUGCUUCUUACUAGUAUGUCCUAGNNNNNNNNNNNNNNNNNNNNNNNNAGCACUGCCCGGGGUCCCUUGAGACUAUUAGGGAACUUUGAUACACUCAGGUCUGAGAAAGGCUUUGAACAUCAUUGGCAUUUAAGGUGGUUUAUUCCAUAACUUAAAGAGGAAUUCAGCAACAGGCUUCCUAUGGUUGUAACUUCUUAUUUUGCUUUUCUGGUGUAAUUCAUUCAUUUUUGGUCUGUAAUGAUUUGUAACAAAUAUUGGGGUUGGCUAGUGAAAAGGGAUGGGGUAAUUAUGCAUGUUUUAGCUAUUAGGAGGGUAGAUAACAUGCCUAUGAGAUCUGUUUAAUAAAUUCUGCAUGUUUUACUUCCACACUUAGAUAACAUGCCUAUAGGAUCUGUUUAAUAAAUUCUUCAUAUUUCACUUCCACACUUAGACACCAUGCAUGUAGGAUUUGAAAUCAGACAUCAUGUCUAUAAGAUUAAAAUCAGUAUUUCUAUAGAAAUCAUGCCUAUAGGACUUUCGCUUUAAUCAAAUAAAUCCUGCCUACUUCACUGCAUGUUCAAUUAAAUACCAUGCCUAUAGGUCCAAAAUCAACUUUUAAUACGUAGAUACCAUGUCUAUAGGAAUUAAAAUCACCUAUAAUAGAGAUCAUGCCUAUAGGAUCUUAAUUAGUCUAGUUAAAAUCAGUUCGACUCAUGCUUGUCUAAAUCAGAUUAAAUAGUUCACUCUCUUUGUGUUAAUUAAUACGUUUUAGAAAGCAUGCCUAUAGGAUCCAAAUCGCCUUUUUAAAAUUAACCAUUGCUUUAUGGCAUUCCUAAUCAGUAAUAUACAUCUUGCUUAUAGGACAUCACCAAUACACAUUUAGGCAAGCCUUAGGUAAUAAUGAUAAAACUGAACUCGCCUUUGCUUAAUUAGCAACUGCUACAACCAGCAGGCAGGCCCGAUUUAGACUCCUUAUAUGAUUUAUGUAAUAAAUUGGUCUUGUUCAACAAUUAAAACACCCCUGCCUUAGUACUUUAAAUUCUGACCCUAAAUGUGUGUAAGUCAUGCUAUUUAUAUGCAUUACUUGAGGAGGUAUAUAUGAGCCUCUUAGUUGUUUAUAUGAUUCCCCUAAUAUACAAUUCUAUGUGUUUUGAAUGUCGCCUUAGUCUUUUUACCUUUAAAAAUUUAAGAGUCAGCCUAAAAUCUUUCCUCUAAUAGGAAUUAUAGUCCUAAAUUCCUCCGGGACUGAUAGGAAUGGGACGGGUAAUAGCAUGCAAGAGGUCGAGACCAAUCCACGCUUUAAUACCUUAAUGGGAUGGGAAGGGUAGAUAUAGAUAUGAUGAUCGGUGUGCUAAUACCACGUGUAUCCCCUAUUCUGAGGAGUGUCAUACCGGGUAUCGCAUUGAUGUGAUCCACAUUGUAAAUAAACCUACCGACCCCCCCCCCCUCUUUCUUUUAUAUUCUCAGGUAUUUGUAGAACUAUAAGUCGUUUUUUUUAAAUUUUCCUUUUAAUUAUUUUCAAACUUUUAUGUGUUCAAACUCAAAUCCCCUACUACUUGAACCUAUACUUGUCUAUCUACUAAUUGUACAAAAAUUCACAAAAACUGUCUAGCCGGGAACCACACUAGUGGAUCCUGAGGGGUGCCUAACACCUCCCCCUUAGGAUAAUUUCAAGCCCUUACCCUAUCUCAGGUUAUCAAAUAAACUUAGAAAUGAACCCUAUAGGUGUCCUAAUGCACCUUAAAUAAUUAGGAGGCGACUCUUCAAAUGCAAAACCUAGUUCGCAAAAAGAAUGAGUUGUCAUAUACCCAAAAUGUCAUAAACCCGAUUUUCCAAUGCGAAGAGGGAAAAAAGGGGCGCUACACUCGUGGCAACGCUUCAUUUCAAGUGGAUAUGAUCACGAAGCUCGAGUCUGAACUUUUGAAGGUCAGGGUUGAGAUCGUUGAUGCACGGGCUGAAACAACACUGAGCCGUACUAAGGCCGAUCAGGAGAUGGCAGUUCAUUUAAAGGAUGCUACCGAUGCCCAAGCCGAGUUGAAGAGGGUCCUCGAUCGUGAAAAGAGGAUCAAAGAAUAUGCUCAGUUUAGAUCCCAAAGAAGGGUACUUGAGGAGAUCGGCGCCAGGGGUUUUGUUCUCCCGGAAGAGUUGGCGCGAGCGAGGGUGGACGAGCGUGACGCUUGGUUACUCCUAUCCAGCGUUGAGGAGAGCGAAGACGAGGUUGAUAGGUUGUAGCUCUCAGGGGCGGGGCGUAUACAUUGCCAUCUUGUACGUGAUAUUUCCAGAGCGCGUUUGUAUAUGGAGGAUGCACUUUUUCAUGUAUGUAAAUAGAAGAGAACUUGAAGCUUUAUUUCUUGUGUACCCCUUUCUGCUUCGCCUCUGACUAGGUGGACUGGUUUCGGGGUUGGUGAGAAUCCUUAGAUUCGUAAUACGGCCCCGGGGCUCAUCAGGUAGGCCCGAGGGCUCUUACGCAUUUAGUCGAUGCGGCCUUUAGUGUAAGCUGGCGUUAGAGAUCUUAUGCUUUUGCUCAACUAAUUUGGGUUUAGCCUCCGAGUCAGGCUUCAACUCGAGCCCAUUCAACCCUCAAGCUUCUAUGUCUACAUGGGCGGGUGACAACGGCUCUUACGCCUUGCCCUUUGGCAUUUGUAUUUUAACUAUUUUGGGUUCAGUCUCCGAGUCCGGUUUCGACUCGAUCACAAUUGACACUUAAGUUCUAUGCCUUCGUGGCUUGGCGACAACGGCUCUUACGCCUUGGGUCGAAGCGACCUUUUAUGUAUGUGGCCCUGAGGCUCAUGAAGCUGGCAAUAAUGGCUCAUAUACUAUGCCCUUAGGCAUGUAUAGUUAACUAUUUUGUAUCUAAUCUCCGAAUCGGGUUAUGACACGAGCUCAUUUUGACCCUCAAGCUUUCAAAUUCUUAAGCUGGCGACGAUGGCUCUUACGCUUUUGGUCGAUGUGACCUUUUAGUGUGUGUGGUCCUAAGGCUUAUUGGGUUGGCGAUAAUGGCUCUUACGCUUUGCCCUUACGCAUAUGUAGGCUUUGCUUUCCUCUCAUUAAGGACUUUUUAAAAUGAUUUUGCCUAACCUGUCGUCGGUUCCGGUGAGAACCUUGAUUUCAAGUCAUUGGCGGCGAUGUUCGAGCACCUCGGAAGGUUUAGCUCGUGGGCUGAGUAGCUCGAAGCCUUGUGAUUUGGAGCUGAGAUGGUCGAAGCUCUUUUGCCUGUCGAGGGUAGCCUGUUUAACCGAUUAUUUUCGAAGUAGAUUCGAAGUAAUGUCCUAUAAUUUUAUAGUGACGGUCGGCCGUCCCCGAGUCGUGUUAAUUCGUCUGGUGCAGCCGUACGACUGUAGUCAUUUGUGUUUGGCCGGAGCCAUUUUUGAUCCCCAGUGUAGUGCUUUAGGCAUAUACAUCGAGGGUAUGGCCUUUCGGGAGUCCUACAAAUGCGACAUAUAGCCUAAAAUUUGGGAAUGAGUUUAUUCCUGUAGUAAGGUCUUACAAAAUUUUCAUGCCUUUUGAGGUCUUACAGUAUUUUCAUGCCUAUUGAGGUCUUACAAUAUUUUAAUGCCUGUUGAGGUCUUACAGUUUUUCCAUGCCUGUUGAGGUCUUACAGCCUUUUCAUGCCUGUUGAGGUCUUAUAGUUUUUUCAUGCCUAUUGAGGUCUUACGGUUUUUGUCAUACCGUUGAGGUCUUACAGUUUUUUCAUGUCAUUGAGGUCUUAUAGUUUAGUUGAUACUUUAGAUAGGUCUUGCUAGAUCGAGUUUGCCCGCUUGGGGUCUUAUGGCCUCGAGUUUUUAAGUGAAUGGCGAUUGGAGAUAGUCUGUGAGUAAUUGAGUUUUCUUAGGCUCGGAGGUCAUUACUCACGAGCUUGGAAUUGCCUCAUUGAGGGCUUAUGAUUUUUUGAGAUUCCGACCCUGGGAUCGUGUGCUUUCUGAGUUUGCGAUGCUUGUCUCUGAGUGCUCGGGACAUUUUUCCUAUUUGGAGAUGCUUCGUAAUUUCCGUGCUGCCUUGCUGAGGGCUCAUGAGCAUGGAGUUCUAACACUUAGGCCUUAUAGACACUGAAUUAUUGAUGCUAGUCUCUGAGUGAUUCGGGCAUUCUCGAUGGAGGGAUCUUUGCUAUGAAAAUGCUGAAUUUUCUUUAGAGUAAGAGACGCUUUUGGGCAGAAGAUAUUCUUUGAUUGUUUGGCAUAAGUACAUGUUGUUUUGCUGCCGUAAGCCCGACUUAUGUGGACACAUUUGUUCGACCAUUUCGCCCGGUACAUCAUUUCCUAUUGGAACCUUGUUUGUCGUUCCCUAGUUCUUCUAAGGGGAUGGCCUCUCAAAGGGGUGCCCUCUAGUGUUCGUGGUUGAUUUGCAAAAGAAGACCUAUAAGCUUGUCGGAUCCACCUUUGGUAGCACGUUGCCCCGAUAAGAACCUUGCCAGUGAAACCCUCUUCGGGACAAAAGCUCGGGAAAGGGAAAGAGUGCAAUGGAUGCCAUUAAGUCCUUGGAAUCUUCGGGUUAGGUUAACACUUUUGACUGCCAUGACCGAGCAUCUGCAUAUGGGUUAGUGUAAGGUAAUGAAAGAGGGAAGUGGUUUUACCUUAUCGUGGGGUGUGCAGGCGAUGUCCCGAGGCCUGAUGCGUCCCUGUUGUUUGGAGCGAGGACCUGGUACGUUUCUCCGAUGUGUUUAAUCAGGCUUAGCUGAAGACGUAGUUUGAUUACACUUUGACUCUUUUGAGAAAGGAGAUAUUAGUGCCGAUGCUAUGUUACGUAACAUGAACACUUCCCUUGCAGUAUGUUAUUCCCCGUAAACGGUUUUAAUUUCGUCCUAUGCUAGAUUUAUUAUUUGGUUAAGAGGGAUGGUACCGCUUUCAUGUGGUGUGUUCCCGGCCAGCCUAAUAAGGCGUUUGUACCUUGUAUCUCCUUUGAUGACAUGGAAUUUGGCGUUCUGGUCUGCGUCGGCCAUGCUGACUGAGAGAAUGGUCUCUCCUUUCGUUAUUUCGAUCACCGUGUUGAAUCCGUCAAGGCUUCGAGAGGCGGGCAUGAUUUGGCCUGGCAGUCCGAGCUGCUGUAUCUCCCUUGACCCGAUAAUGUUGGUCGAGCUACCUGAAUUCACGAGCACAUGUUUUACUUGAAAUGAACAAAUAAGAAAGAAGGUUACCAGUGCAUUGUUAUGAGGUUAGGGCCAGGGUUUGGAGUCUUCCUCGCCGAACAUGAGGGCAUCUUCGGGUAUGUAUCCGCAAGUCUAUUUUUCUCUAGUGAUAGACAUUUUUGUGUUCCUCUUCACAAGUUCACGGGGAGUGUCGAUGCUCCCCCAAAAUCAUGAUAGCAUGUCGUGGCCCAUUCGAUUCGUCCUUUUUAGCUGCCUUUCUUUCUUGGAACUGAACAUGAGCCCGAUCGCUCAAGUGUUCUCGGCGGUGACUUUUACUGAGUAGCUUGGCUAUUUACUUACAAAGCUAGUGGCAAUCUUCGGUCCUAUGACCGUGCACAUUAUGAAGCUCACAUACCAAGUUGUGAUUUCUCUGGGAAGCACCCGAGUGAAUAUCUUGGUCCAUUUGAUGUCCCUGAUUUUGCUGAUGGUGAACACGAUGUCUGAUAUAGCAACAUUGGUUGUAAUCUAAUAUGCGAGGUGCCCCCAUUGGUCUCGUGUCUCCAUCGAAUCUGGCUCUAUUGAUGAGCCUUUGAGAAUAUUGUCCUCGAUCCAUUCUCCGACCGUUGCGAGGUAGGUUGCGCCUCAGGGCAUUCCUCCUAUCUUCUGUGUACAGCUGGUAUCUUUCCUUGUUUGGUUUCGGUUCCUUUGCCAGGAGCCUGCUUGGGUAUACUGAGCCCCUAGGGGUCUCCCAACUGGUCAUCCUCGACCCUGAUUUUUGACUGGUACCAGUUCUGGACGUCCGACCAGGUCAUAGCUGGAUACUCGUUCAAGUCAUGUUUCAAUUGUUCUGAAGCCACUGAGCUUGGUUCAUUCAGGCCUUGAGUGAAGGUCUGCACCGCCCAAUCGUCAGAGACUGGGGGUAGUUCUGUUCGUUCCGUUUGGAAAUAAGGUACGAAUUAUCCUAGCAUUUCAUUCUACCUUUGCUUAAUCUUGAAUAGGUCGGACUUCCUUGUUGCUACAUUGAUGGCACCGGCGUGUGCCUUUAUGAAGAAAUCUACUAGCAUGGAAAAUGAACCUAUGGAGUUGGGAGUUAGGAUGUGAUGCCACAUCAUGGCCCCCUUCGAGGUCGUUUCUCCGAACUUCAUCAACAAUACAAACUCGAUCUCGUCAUUUUUUAUGUCGUUGCCCUUUACCGUGCAUGGAUAGGUAGUGACAUGUUCGUUGGGAUCUGAGGUCCCAUUGCAUUUUGAGAGUUCUGUCAUUCUGAACUUCUUUGGAAUGGGUUUCGGAUCCGCUUCCUCUAGGAAUGGCCAUCAUAUGAACUUCUUCGAAUCUACACCCUUCAAGAUCGGGGGUGCGCCCGGGAUUUGGUCGACUCUGAAGUUAUAGGUUUCGACCUUCUUUUCGUCGGCUGCUAUCAUUUUCUCGCUCGAAUCAAUCCUUUUUGUGAGGUCCUCCAGCAUUUUUACGAUGGUAGGAUCGGCUACUGAUCCGUUGUUGCUCAAUCUCUACGGUACCUGUUCGGCCGGGGGAGUAGUAUCCAGUACUACUGUGCUGGGAGUCUUCAGGUGGCUUUGCAACUGAGCGAUAGCCAACUGUUGUGCCUGCAACAUUUCAAAAAUAACACGACGACUAACUUCCUGCUCUUCCCAGGAUGGGGUUUUUUGGGCGUCCUAUUAGCCGCCAUGUUGUAUGCUCUGGUCGGUGUGUGAGGUUUCAUUGACAUGUUGCACGUCUUGCAAAUCCACGUCCGUUGGAAUAGGUCCAGGUGCGUUAUCGGGGUUUUGUGGUGGCGCGCCAAUAACUGGAAUGGACAUACAACUUUCUCUGUGGUUUCAAGGUUGUCGUUCUCUACUCUGUUCACUGAGCCAGACAUUUUGACCUAAACUCAAAGAUCAUGGACAAGAAAAGUGUAAAAGAUAACUUGCAUUGUGUAAUGAAACCAGCAAGAAAAUAAUCAUUAUUAUUUUUAGCUCCACGGUAGGCGCCAAACUAUUUACCGUGAAAAUGCUAAUGACAAUUAAAUUUUUUGAUGGGACUCUAAAAAUACGUGAUCUAUUUUUAUGCUAGUUGUUAGAGCAGUUGAUGCUAGAUACGUGAUGAUAAAGAUGAAAUGAGAGCUAAAACAACGUUACAAUCAAACCGACGAGUUAGCUAUCCGUGCCUCAGGCUAACCGAGGAAGGGCCUCGAGGUCGAUGCCUGGGCUCGAGCUCGAGCUAUCGGGGGUAACUGGGAAGGGACUAACAGUUAGGAUAUAAUGCUCUUUAUGGUCAAUAUCAAGCAAUAAAUGAAGAACAAACACAAAAACAAAAAAUGAAAUUGGUAGUCUCGAGCGAGUAAGUUAGAGAGAAAAGAGAGAGUGAGUUGUUAUUGAUCUUGUGUAGAAUGGUUGGAGCAACAGCAGCCCCUUACAAAGUGAGAAGGAUUCCCUUUAUAUAGGAGGAGAAUCCCAUCUUAGUACAAAAUACAUUAAUUGUAAAGGCUUGGAGAUGGGACGGCUAGACGUGACACCUUGAUACAAGCUCCAGGUAGGUCGGCUUCGUCAGAGUUAGCCGUGUGCCUUGGGAAUCCCCUAUUUUUUUCUAGCCUCGAUCAAUAUUCUCUUUGGGCCGAGCCUCGACGAGCUUCGAGGGAGGGAACUUGUUCACAGCUUCGCGACCUCGAGGUCUCGAGGUGUUAUUCUGAAGUGACUUGAUAGCAAGAAAUUGGACUCUUUUAUUUCGCUGCAUACACAACCCAAAACACAAUUUAAAUGAUAAAAAUAAAGACAAAAUUCAUGGAAUAUAUUUAAUUAUAGUUGAAUAAAAUUUACACAAUAAAAUGUCGUGAAAAAUCCACCAAAUAUCGCCAAGAACCGAGCUCUACAAGUCAAAAUGUGAUGAAAAUGGUGAAACCCUUGAUUUUGGAAUAUAUUUUGUCUACCCAGGUUUUUGUGCAGCACGAUCACGGAAGAAGAGACGCGAUCGCAUAGAAGGAAAAUAUCUACUGACCAAAACGUGCUACGCGAUCGCGGAAGGUCUUAUGCGAUCGCGAAGUGAAGGAACUAUCUGCUGCCCAAGGCCACACUUUACGAUCGCGAAGCAGGGGAUAUGAAUGCGGAUACUAGUGGACAGGGCUUACGCGAUUGUAUACUUAAAGACGCGAACGCGAUGAAGGAAAAAAAGGUUAACAGGACACUACGCGAUCGCGAUUUGAUCUACGCGAUCGUGAUCGUAAACACCAGACACCAGAUAUCAGCAAUCCAAAAAUAGAAAAAUUUGGCCCAUAGCCCAUCCGAAACCCACCCGAGUCCCUCGAGACCCCGUCGAAUCAUAGAAACAAGUCACAUAACCUAACACGGACUCGCUCGAGGUCUCUAAUCACAUCAAACAAUGCCAAAACGAUGAAUUACACCAUGAAUCGAACUAUGAACUUCUCAAUCUUCCAAAUUCGAAAACUUGUGUCGAAACCGAUAAAAUCAAUCCGGAAUGACGCCAAAUUUUGCAGAAAGGUCCAAAAUGACAUAUCGGAGCUGUUCUAACUCUCAGAAUCGCAUUCCGACCCCGAUAUCAAAAUUUCACUAUUGAUCCAAAAACUUCAAAAUUUCAACUUUCGGUAUUUCAAGCCUAAAUAAGCUACGGACCUCCAAAACACAAUCCGAACAUACGCCUACGUCCAAAAUCACCAAACGAAACAGUUGAGAUCACCCAAAACCCAUUCCGGGGCCGUUUACUCAAAAGUCCAACUCCGGUCAAAUUCUCACUGUCCAAACUUCCAAAACUAGAUUCCUUCUUCCAAUUUGACUCUGAAUCAUCCAUUCACUGAAUUCAACCAUGCACGCAAGUCGAUACUCAUAUUAUGAAGCUGUUUAAGACCGUAUACCGCCGAACAGAGCUUAAAUUCUCAAAACGGUCGGCUGGGUCGAUACAUCCUCCCCCUCUUAAAAACAACGUUCGUCCAUGAAUGUGCCAAGAUUUGCUUCGAAGUCUUCAAGUCACUGAAUGCACACUUCCAACAUACACCCACGGGUGAUCCCUCGUCACCCCAUUCCACAUAACCUGACGACAUCAUCCCAACUGAAAUUUAGCCUUUCUAACAAUACCAAUAAGCCUUAGGGUUAGAAUUCUCACCUCCAUCCAUUUCUAAGGACCCGAUGCUAAAUCCAUAUCCGAUAUCAGCCUCAACCUAUUACUUCAAUUAAUGUCGAAACCCAUAGGGUAAAACCACACAACAUGACACAUCACACAUAAGCCCACAAUAACAUUUCUGAUAACAAUAUCGCCUAAAAUCAAAUUCAGCACCGUCCAUAAGGCUCAUAUUCAAUAGGAGCCCAUUUCAAACCUCCAUAACAUUAGCGAUGAUACAAUGACCACGAAAGCCACAUAACUAAACACUCGAAGCACCAAAUCUCAACUAAUACCAACGGGCACACACCCCACAAGCUAAAACUCAAGAAGCACAGAACAAAAAUGACUGAAUAUGGAAAGGGAAACACAUAAGAGAACUAACAAACAAGCCCAACAAGCACAAAUUUUUCAAUCAAUACUAAUUUACAAAAACAAUCUAACAAGAAAGAACUAAAGCAUAUAAAAGAAUCACAAGGAUCUUAUACUAAUAUAACUUCCACCGCGGUACACAACCCGAUCUCAACACAUCAAAUCACAUGAAAUCACGAGGGUCUUGCCUCAACUCUGAAUCUCAAGUGUGGAACACAUCAAAUUAGCUGGAAACUCUCACUAGAUCAAUUCCAUCACAAUUUACACCAAGUACUGGCUCCCACACCGUUGGAGAAUAAACAUCAUGGAUCAUAUACAAAAUACUCAUAUAUCAUAUCAAGCCUACUAAAAAAGGACAACAGGAAUUUACUAAUAGUCUCACAACUCACAACAAUGAAUAAAAUAGACGAUCGACACAGGCUGUCACUCAUAAAUCCUCCCAACAUGGUAAUCACAUAAACAGGGUGCUAAUCAUGAAACGCACCCAUAAGUGGAGCAACAAAUAGGGGAACUCACCCCAAUAAGUAGAAUUGUAAUAACCUACGGAUGGUGCUCCUCUAUAACAAACUAAAUCAUAAUGGAAUGACAUUCAGAAGGCGUAGCGUCCUUAAGCCAACUAUAUGAAACACAUCAACAAACCGAGCCUCCUCCUCUUUAGCUCCUUCUACUCGCCUAAAUACCUCGCUGUAACACAUCGACCCGAUGUCUGAGACAAUCUCUCAGCAUAUGGAUAGUAUCUCCACACUCAAAGUAACCUCUCAGCUGAUGAGGCUAUAGGAACUGUGUGGUACAGGUACCCCGUGACCCAUGAAUACCUGAGUUACUAUGCAAAGCCUGAAGCACAAACUGAACUAGCUGACCCACAAAACCUCUACCAUGUCGCACCCUACCUCCAAAAUAAGGACCGACAAAUCUCCCCGGUCUACGAGACCUCCUCGCCUCCUCAAACUCUCUCUCUCGUGAUCUCGCCUCACCUCUCUCUCCUCCUUCUCUCAAGCGAUCAUGUCCUCCACCCUCCUAGAAAUACUCACGUUCUGCUGAUAUGAAAUAUCUAUCUCUAACUCCCAAGCCAUGCUAGUCCUAAUGUUGGGAUGGAGUCCCUUAAUAAAUCGGCGAACCCUCUAUCGAACAGUAGAAAUAAAGGUCAGUGCAUGUCUAGCAAAAUAACUAAAUCUAACGGCGUACUCUGAUACUGACAUAGAGCCCUGGUGCAGCUGCUCAAACUCUGCGUGCCAUGCACCCUAAAGGGACUGAGGUACGAACUCUCUCAAGAACAUCUCUGAAAAUUGAACCCAUGUAAGUGAAGCUGCAUCGGUCGGCUACCCAACUCAUGCGUUCGCCACCACUGAUAAGCCGCUCCGACAAGCUAGAACGUAGUAAAAUCAACCUAACUCGUCUCUGCAAUACCCAUAGUGUUGAUAAUGCGAUGGCACUCCUCUGUGAAACCCAUUGUGCUCUCUUAAUCCAACCCGCUGAAUGUAGGAGGGUCACAUUUUCUUGAACCUUGCAAAUCUAAGUUGUUCUCCCUUGGAUUCUGCUACCCUGACCAUGGGCUGAACUGGGACCACAAAUUAUGUCGCCAUGACACCUAGGACCUGACUAGUGGAAAGUCACUACUCUGAGUGUGGUCUAGUUGUGGCACAUACUCCUCAUUAGAACCUACCCCGUGAGCAGCGCCGUUGAUAACUGUAGCUCGUGUCCUCACCGUUGGUGAGAGAAUGGAGUGAUAAAAGUUCAAACUCCAGGAUCAAUAAGCUCGCACGAUAGGAAUGAAAGAAGUGAGAUUGUCCUAUUAGUUUCGUAUCGUCUCGAAGAUAAGUACAGAUGAAUUUGUACCGAUCCACAAGACUCUACUAAACUCGCUUAUGACUCGUAGCACCUAUGAACCUAAAGCUCUGAUACGAACCUAUCACGACCCAAUUUUUUCUCCAUUGGGUUUCGUGAUGGCACCUAGUCUUAAGGACUAGUUAAGCCUACUAAAAUGUGAAAUAACAACAAUAACUAAUAACAACUAGAAUUCCUCUGAGAUGAAUCCUUUAUACAAUGAACAACUUCCCAAAACCCGGUAGUACAAGUCAUAAUCUCUAUAGAGUUUCGCUAUAACUUCUCAAUAUGGAAUUAAGUACAACAAUGUGAAUAUAAAAUAGGAAGGUGACUCCGAAGCCUGCAAAUUCAGCAAUAGGUCUACCUUGAGUGUCCUCGGCAAGAAUCCGCACAGCUACUAACGAACAAUACUUGGAUCUGCACAAAAAAUUAUGCAGAAGUGUAGUAUGAGCACACCACAGUAGUGCUCAGUAAGUAUCAAGACUAACAUUGGUGGAUUAGUGACGAGGACAUAGUCAAGACACCUAUUAGUCUAAUAAGUAGAACAAGCAUAAGUAAAGAAAAUAACCGAACAUGAAAUCUAUAUAAAGACUAAGCUAUACUUCUACCAAUACAUAAACUACAAUAAGGAAAGGAAACAACAAGUAAUAGGGGAAAACUAUAAUAAAGCACAUAAAAGUGAACAAAUAAUGCAACCCAAACUUGAAAUCACAAGUACAGUAAGGGCAUGUCAUAACUCAGCAACUACGGCAGCCCUCGCCUUGCGUCUUAACCAGCAAGCAUCAAUCAAAUAAUCAAACUCUUAUCAAGUGAUAAAAAUUGGUUUGAAAUGUACUUCCUCCAAGUAAGCGUCCUUUUCAAAAGAGUUUCUUUCAAAAUAAUGCUUUCAUAUAUAAUCGUUUCCAAAAAGAGAAUCCUCCGAAUAUAAGUCACCCAUGUGACACCUUAUCUCAUACUCAUACAAUACGGGUCUCAAUACCUGAACCCUAACACUUGGCAUCAUGUGCCCUCAUCACCCCUCCAAAUCAUACUGACAACUCACGUGCCCAAAGAGUCAUCCUCACAUGGAAGGAAAAUAAACAAGGGGGUGUGUCUAUACUCAAAAAUCUCAAAGAGCCUCCUACCCGAUAAGGAUGAUUAACCAUGUGUAUCCUUGUGCAAGUGUUCUAACAUAGUUCGCACAAAAUAGUAAGUAUAAGGAAUGGAACGGACAUUACCCAUAAUGUUUACACAGAGAUGGAAUCAAUGAAAACAUCAGCUCAGAACACAAUAAUUUUAACAGGGGAUCUCCCAGGAUAUCGUCCUGUAGUCCAAAACAUAAUUAUGUGUGCUAGGGAUCUCUUGGUAUCCCGAGGAUAUCUUGGUACCCUCAAUAUAUAUACUAGGGAUCUCUUGGUAUCCCGAAGUUCCCUUGGUAUCCUCAAUAUAUGUACCGGGAAUCUUUUGGUAGCCCGAUGAUCUCUUGGUAUCCUCAAUAUAUGUACUAGGGAUCUCUUGGUAUCCCGAGGAUCUCUUGGUAUCCUCAAUAUACGUGUUGGGGAUCUCUUGGUAUUUCGCACUAAGCCAUAAUCAAUGUAUGUGCAGGGGAAUCUCUCGAGUACAGUCCCAUAGUCCCAAAAGUAAAUACGCAGCUCAACCAAUAGAAAUAACAGUCACAGCAUAACAGAAAGCUCAUACAUCACCACGAUACAUAUAACAAUAGCAAAAAUGACAAUAAUACAAGGUAAGACAAGUAAUCAACUUAAGGACUGUAAAUCACAAGGACAUGGUAGAACCAGCUCACAAGGAAUAACCACAGAAAAGAAUGAUGACAUAAAGGGAACAGUUUAACACGGGAGAGCUAACGUAUAGCGACGAUCCCCCAAUAUACAAGUCAAUAACAAGGAAAUCAACGCGAGUCAAGUAGUCCCAAAUAAGGGGCAAGUCAACAAGUAUAUAGAUUAUCUAACUCCUUUUUAAGGUUGGACAAAUUCCGAGGAUAUUCGACAAUUCAAUUAGGGAGAGAUGAUCUUUAGUUUCACUUAAGACAAAACAAAGUUUCAUGAAGGAUGCUAAUGGUUCUCACAUAAGACAAACAGCUACGAAAAGAUAGCGUGACAAUAGGAGAGGCGAAAUUCUUUAAUUAAAUCAAAUAGGAGUCAGUUAAGCAAUAAGAGUGAAUCAUGAAGCAAUUAUUUUCAAACAAGCAUGUAGAUGUGAAACUAGUAAUUAGUAAAUGCAGUCAUGUCAAGGACACAUUCAUACACAGUGAAUAUAAGGAUCUAAUUAGUCUAAAAGACCAAUUUUUCACAGAUAAGUCCGAGGACGCACCUGUCACCUCGUGUACACAACUACCUCAAAAACAAAAAACCAACACUCUAAGAUGCACUUCUCGGGUGAAAAGACCUAUGGACGACUCACUUCUAACCAAAUUAACUUCAAAGCACAAAUAAAACACAUAAGAGACUAUUCUGGAUCAUAAAGUCUUAAUCAUGAUAAAAAAAUUCUAAAAAUCGGUCCAAAAGUCGACCCCCGGGCCGGCACCUCGGAACCCGACAAAUUUUACAAAAACUGAAUAUUCAUUCUGAUACGAGUUAAAUACUACAAAAUUUAUCAAAUUCUGAUAUCAUUUGGUCCCUUAAAUCCCGAUUUUUCAUUUUAGAAUCUUUCUUCGAAACCAACUCUUUCCCCAACCCAAAACACAAUUUAAAUGAUAAAAAUAAAGACAAAUUCAUGGAAUAUAUAUAAUGAUAGUUGAAUAACACUUACCCAAUCCUCAUUGGCAUCUGACUCUGCCUCUAGCGACACCUUCUCAAGGCAGAGUCGUUGAUAACUGCAGCUCGUGUCCUCACCGUCGGUGAGAGAAUGGAAUGAUAAAAGUUCAAACUCCGGGAUCAAUAAACUCGCACAAUAGGAAUAAAAGAGGUGAUAUUGUACUAUUAGUUCCGUAACCUCUCGAAGAUAAGUACAGACGUCUCCGUACAGAUCCGCAAGA
rnacentral:lncRNA from 1 species